UAUAGGACAAUUAAUGGUGAGGGUGUUGGAUGGGAGGAAUUCUACACUGUCACACUUGUAUCACGUCAUCAAUAACAAGCCAAUUACAUUCCUUCUUUUCAAAUAAAAGUACAAUAAAAAUAUUUUUUUACAAUCAUGAUGGGACAUAUAUUCUUAAAAAGAUUAAUUUGAUUGGUUUGUUACGCCACGUCACUAAUAUACCCGUUGCAUUCUAGAAUUUUUCGUUGGAUGGGCCGUUGCUAUAUAUCGAGGCUCUGCUGUUACAAGUUUCCAAAGGUUACGAAUUAUUAGCUUUCUUUUUUUCAAAAAAAAAAAGUUUUUUUUUACCUCAAUUAAUAGUUGCUAAAUUGGGCUUUUUUCCACCCACUCUCGAGAUAGACCCAAAUCUUACAAUCACAGUAAUGGGAUGAUUUUAGGCCUAAUUCCUGCCCAUGUUACACCAGAUAUCGUCUCAAAAUGGCCUAGCCUGCUUAAGUUCAAAGCCCUAACCACCUUCUCUGGCCCACUUAAUUUUCAAUCCCCCAUCAAUUUGAAUUUCUUUCUUCAAUGAAUAAUAUGUACACAUCCACAGUCAUUUUUUUAAUAUAAAAAUAAGUUUAGUAAUUUAGAUUAAUAACGGGAGCUAGAUAAAGAACGUUGAACCUCUUAAUAUUAAGAAAUUUCUACAAAGAACUUUUUAUAUUUCGUUUGUUUAUAUAUUUGGCUUGACUCACAUGAAAGUAGAGCCAACAGCUCUAACAACAUAGGCCCUCUUGGGCCGAUAUGCUGUGGGCCCUCUUCUCCACCAUAGGGUCCAACCUGCGAGAUGGCUUUGUAUGUUCUUGCCGGCCCGUGACCUAUCCGGCCCGAUCUACCAUAGUUCAUUACUAGCUUAUGUGCACAUUGGACCGCCUGCGUUCAACCCUCCAAUUUGAAUAGGGAACCAUGACCUCUUGAUCAAAGGCAUCCCAAAAGGCAGUGGUAUAUUUGUUUAGUAAUGUAACCAAAUAAUAUAUAUAUAAUAAUGAUACCCACUGUUUCUACCGCAAAUGAUAAAAGAAUUGAUGGUAUGGUACCUUAGAUGUCAACUUCAAAUUUUAAUUAUUUCAUAUUUUCAGCAAAAAAAAAAAAUAAAAUUAUACAAUAACAGUUACCAAUCAUACAUAAAGGAUCGAGUUGGGGGAGAAACAUAAUUGAUAAUCUACUGACCAGUCAACGAGCACAGUUUAUUUUAUUUAACAUAAAACCUUUUAAGAACAUGACGUGAACAAAUUAUAGUCGAAUUUAUUCGUCAGCUCAUUAAUCAAUACGGCACUGUUAAAAGAAGAUAUAUAUUGUUCGCUCUCCACCCACACUUUCAACUUAUCCCUUGUUUCUACCGGUGGAAGAAGCGCUAUAAUUACUACACCACGACCAUUUUUUCAAUCUACGUACGUCGCAAGACACUUUAAUUUCUUAACAAAUUAAAUUAUCGAAAAUAAAACAGUUUAUUAAUUUCAGGAUCGAAGGAUUAACUAGUGCGCAUGGCCAUGCACCCAUGCAACUACUAGCUAGCACCUUAGUAAACUGUGGACUCCGUGACCAUGGCGAUCCCGGCGUCGGCGCUUUUGCCGAACCUCGCGACGGCACAGUCGGUGGAGAAGAUGCCGGAGGAAACGAAGUUGGGGGCCCCGCCCAUGACCGGCAUGUUCGCCCGCACGUUGAGCUUGUUUAUGUAAUCCGGCCGGUAGGUUUGGCCGAGCACGCCAUGCACGUCGGGGCCGAGCGAGUAGAAUUUAAAUGCGAUGUCAAGGUGGGCCAGGCUGUCAUCUUCGGUGACGCCGUAGUUGUGGAUCCGAGAGUCCUCCUUCGUGAUCGGGACCGCGCCCGCCAUUAACUUGAACUUGCCCUCCAGCUGCACCACCACUGCGUUCGUGGCCUUCGUCCUCGUGAUCGACAGGGCGGGGACGGACGUCGACCCCCAUCUGGCGUUCAGCUCGUUCGGAACGUAGACGGGCUCGCCGUCGAAGGUGAUCAUGAGGCGGUCGACGUCGUCGUCCCACGUCACGGUCUUCUGCGCGCCUACGUAGAGGCUGUGGCCGCCGAAGCGCAUACCGAGGGCCUGCACCCACGUGAAGUCGCGCUUCAUGUCGUCGUUGCGUUUCCCGAUGAAACGGGCGUUGAUGUGGAGGUCGGAGUCGGAGACGAGGCAGAAGUCGGCAUCCUUUUUGCCGUGGAAGUAGAAGGUGUUGCCGUCGCCGCCGGUGAAUCGUGGGUCGCCACAGACGAAUCCCGGGAUCUUCAAGUCGCAAGCUGCGCAUGCCAACCAACAAAAAUUAUCGUAAAACAAACAUACACCACAUUAAGAACAAAAUCUCUCUCUCUCUCUCUCUCUCUCUCUCUCUCUCUCUCUCUCUCUCUAUAUAUAUAUAUAUACACACGAAUAGACUCGAACGGUGAAACGGAAAUCACCACCGUCGAUCAUAAUACCCGAAAAAGAGAUUUCUUUUUUUUUUUUGAAAAAAAAAAGAAAUGAAUCUAGUAAGGCUUGUAAGCACUCACGGCAGAAGGUCCUGCAAGUGGGGCAGAAGACCAAGCAAGAUUCGGAGCAUUUGUCAGGGCAAGUGGCGUUGCAGCCGGGCUUAUUCUUUCUUCCGUCAGAGCAUGUCAACUCGAAAUUCUUUUUGCCACCGAGGUGGCCGCCACUGAUGACCUGGAAGUUCGGCGGCGGCUGCGGCUGUCCCGACGAGGCCACUGCGAGGGCCGCCACAGAGGCGCACACUAGCAGAAGCGCCACGCCCCGCCGCGCCAUCGCCGCCGCAACUCCUGUGUGGUGGUGUUAUACUUAAAAACCACCUAAAUAAAGCUCAACUAGCUAUGCUGUGGCUUAUUUACUCGGCUAUGUGGAGUUCUGUGUGGUGCGAUGUUCAGAAGUGUUGGGUUGCCCUUUUUAUAGCUCCACAACGGACACGGCCGUUGACUUUGUGGCCUAAUAUCGUACGUCCGAAUUUAAGCAAAUAAAAAAAUUGUCAAAAUUAAUGGCAAAUUUGCCAAUACUAUACAUUCGCGGCCUAAGCGUCCAUGUGGGGAUUGCGCUCCGGAAUCUCGUGGUUAGCUUUCAAUUCUACGUAGCAAGAUUUGCGGGUCAACUGCGAGUGGAUCGUUCGAUAUGGGACAAGUUGACUCGAGAUUAGAGUUCGGAUCCCAGACCAAUCUGGCUCUAGUCAAAGUACACGGGGUUUUGCUUUUUUUGGUUCCGGAAAAAAUGUACGAGGACCCCUGGACUGUGCGCCAUAUUGUAGUUUAGUUAUUUUUUGAAGAAAAUUUUAUUUGUCUUAAUGUUAAUUACCAUUCUGGUUGAUUAUAAAUUUUUCUAAAAUGAAAAACUUUAAUAAUUAUUGAUCAUUAACUGUUAAUAAACUCCACGUACGUUCACAUAUUCCGACUGGAAAGAGCUGAAACAGUCGAUGUAUUUUAAAUUCUUUCAAAGUAUUUUAAUUUUUCAAAGUAUAUAGUUCUAUGCUCAUUAUUUCAGCUAAUUAAUGCGGGGGAUGGAAUUUGAGCGGAAGUAAAUUUUUAAUGAUUUGUAUUUCCUUUAUUUUGAUGAUGGAAAUAUAAAUAUAUAAGGAAGUUUUAAUAACAUAGUUAUCUUCACUAUACAUAUUUUACUUUCAUGUAGAUCCAAAAUUACGCACAACAUAACUCGAAACUAACUAAUGAAUUCGCAGGGAAAAUCUUUAAAUCAAACAAGAAAAGAGAGGGUAUGUCGAAAUUCCCUACAGUUGAGGGGCCUCCGUGCAUUGUAUUCCCCCCAAUUUUCUCUUCUCUCUCGAAAGCCAUAAAGUACGUGAAAGUUUUAAUGUGGUGUCGGAGGAUUCAAUUAAGCUGGAUCCUUCCCCGCGCUGCGAACCAGCUAGCUCUUUGUUACGCGUAGAUUGGAGCCCAGAGAGAAAACGAAAAGCUUACUUGGGAGAUGAACGCCAGCACGUGGCAACAUCGAUCACGUAGAAUUAACUUUCUUGGAUUGUAUGAUUUUUUUUCUUUCUUUCUUUUUGUCCCCCUUGUUUGCUCUUCUUAUUCAUCAAUUCUUUAAGUUUUAUUAGUCAUAAGCCAACAUCUAUAAGAUCUAACUAGUUGUAAUCUCCUGCUGCAGAAGAUUACAGGUAAAAUGAGUUACGUACAGUAAAAAAAUAUAUAUAAUACAAAAAUAUUUUAUAGUGUUAUUAUUAUUUGGUAUAGAGUUUUUUUUUUUUUGAGAGAGAAUUAUUUGGUAUAGACAUAACCUUUUGGAUCCAAGUAAGGAAAAUUUUAUAUUUAUUAUACAUUCAUUCUCUCUCUUUAUUUGUUGGAUGGAGACGAGCGUGAAGGGCCACCAACGCGCUGCGCACGCACCGUCCAUCGUGUUGUACCAUCGAGAUUGGCGAGGGGAACAGCCUCUUAGAUGGCUGUGAUUACUUUAAUUGCUCUUACAACCUCAACACCUGUAUAGUCAACUGCGUGUUGAAGUAUAUCGACAAUAUAAAAUUCGUCAAUUGAAUGGUAAUUAAGUCACCACAGCUGUAAUCAGGCACAAAGUUCGAGACCAUAGUAAUCAAUUCAGAAAACUGAAGUAUUAGCCUAAUUCUUGGGCAAUUUUUUUUGUUGGUUUGGGUUAAGACCCGAUCCGAUAGUAUUAGAUAGUGUUUAUUCCAGAAAUUCAAAUUUUACAAAAUAGCUGUUAGCUGUUGUAAAGAAGAAAGUUUAGGAUGCUAGGAUGAGUUCAUUUAACAGUUUUUUAAUAACUUUAAAUCAAAUUUUUACUGUGUUUUAUAGAUUAUUAUGUACCCUUUGUAGUGUUACUAGUGUAAUUUGUUUAUCGGCUUGGGUCAGGUUGUUUCUAGUGAGGUUCGGAAUAAGUGGGAGCAAGUUUAAACAAGGGUCUAAUAAGGAUUUUUAAAAAAAAAAAUAAAUCAGAACCCAAUCCAAGGCACCGGAUUAAGCCCAACUGAACCGUGAGAGGUGGUGUCGGACACAUGGUUGUGAUGGAUACAAACAAACAUUUUAAUGUUGUUAGGCAUCUCACUGGCUUUAGUACCUCUGGAAGUGAAGCCCAAACUCCAAAGACAGCUAAAUAAUAAUAUUUAACUCUCGAUCUAAACUAAAUUUGGAGACUAGCAAAGCUUAAUUAUUAGACUUUUAACCUAUAAAUGAUUUACGUGAUGACUCCCUAUAAAAAGUCCUAUUAAGACCUUGCAAAUCUAAUUAGAUCGAGUAAAGCAUGUGCCCAUACUGAAUUUCCGGGUACGGUACAGCCGAUCAUUGGAGCACUACACCCUAGCAAAGUCCGCGACUUGGAUCGAGUUCAAUCUGAAUUUGCCUGAGCUAAUUGAUUCAGUACAUAGCACUGGAUUGUCAAUAGAGAGCUUGACUAGGCAAGUAGGCAAGGUUUAGGAAGUUUAACCCUCCCUCAGUUUACCAUGGUUGGGAAUUCAAUGCGAAGUCAAUCGACUACGAUGCAAUUAAGCCCAGUACCACCUACCACAAAUUAUCAUUAAUAUAUGAUAAAAAAAUAAACAGCAUGCACGGUGCUAAGGCUCCGCAGAAGGGUUGGUGCAGGUUAUGAUCGACUCCUAUUGUAAAUUUGUAGAUUGAGUUAGUUCUAAUCUGCCUUCAAAACUGCAAUUUUACUAGGGUUGUGCUUAUUCUAUCUUGAAUGAGACAUUUUGAAAACUUUCAAGGCCGGCCACAUCUAAUUUGCUACGUAGAGACGGAGAGACAUUCCAGGUUAGUUUGCUCAGCAGUGUGGCCUAUACUUCCUUUUACUCUGAUUUUCAACUUUCUUAUAAUCUAUUUUGUGUACAACUAAGACAAAACUUAGUGAUGCAUUCAGCAAAAAGAUAAUGAAAAAAUAUAUAUAUAAAGCAAAUUUUUUAGGAGAGCAAUAACUCGUCAAAAUGAGCUACUAGUUGGUAACCCAGCCAAAAGUCCAAAAAGGUCCAAAUCCAAGUGCCAAGUCUAAGGAGACCACCGACCAUCCCUAGAGUAAGUGGUAAAGGAUUUGGUAGUUGGUACCCGAGACCCAAGUUCGAAUCCUAAUUGAUUCACAUUUUCAGCUAAGUUUAUUUCUAAAUGAAAUAAAUGAAGCGGAUAGCGUGCUAUCUAUCUCUCUCUCUCAAAAAAAAAAAAAAAGUCUAAGGAGACCUAUGAUGUCUUUCCGAGUAGGCCUAGAAAAAUUUACUUUCAAAAUGAUUUUUUUUUUUUUUUUAAGCGCAUGCAUAUUGAUAGUCCUCUCCAGACUUCAGACGAAAUUCAUUCCCGUACUGAUGAGCAACAAAAAAAAAUCCGCACCCUUUUUUGUAGGGACAUUGUUGUCUCAUGUUGGAGCCACAUUAAUUACCAAGAAGCUUACAGAGUUGUUGCUCACGCUAAAUUUCGUAUUGAGAUCCAUCCUACAUUAUAGAGAUAAAAUUAAGAUGGGAUAAAACUACAUAGAAAUAUGUUUCUAUGUUUUUCAGUAGGACCGUAGAAAAUAUAUCGUACUCGACUUCUCAUAAUAUGCGGAACGCAUAUUAAGUACGAAAAGAAAUAUGAUAUUGUUUCAUCGUAUUUUCUCACCACACAUAACACAAUUUUUUCGCAAUUCCAAACGAAGUCCGUGAUUCUAAUGGGCCCAACCCAGACUUUCAGCUAUUUGUGUUUAGAUAAUAAAGAUUGCCAAUCUCACAAAUACUACCAAGACCUGAAAAUUAGAAAUUUGGAGGAAAUAACAGGUAAUCCUCGUGUAAAAACUACUAUUGCAAAUUGACGGAAUUCGCCAAUUAUUUGGUUAACCACCGGCCGAGUAGUGGUCUGCGUCGCCGCACAAUUCAGACACUGUUUGUGUCACAACCCUCACUCUUUAUAUGCCGUCACUUUUCGUUGGUUGCAGCGCGAGUAAGGCGCGUGCAUUGAGUCGUCGGCAUGUGAUUAACCUUUCAUUUUGUACGUUAACACAAAAACAUGAGUGCUUCGGAGGUAGCAUAUAUUGAGCAAAAUGCAGCGCAAAGCUAGCGAACCCCAAAACUAACACAACACGGGGAGCUGCGCUCCUUUUCUGUAUCUUGAAUUGUCGUCAAAGUGGUUUCACACGGGGCCUGCGCAUGUGAGGCCAGUCGGCUAGCAACCAACAUAGGCCUUGAGUAGGCCUAUGUUGUUCGGAUGGCAGGCGUGAUGGGCUGGCUGCAAGUCCUACAACAAAACACGAAACCUCUGACGAGACUUGACAUGUCUGGUCAUGUUCAUUCGACUGAAAGCCUAAACAGAUAUUGGGCCUGGCCCAUUAGUUAGCAUUUACUUUGGGAAGAAAUGAUUUUGAACCCGUUUUUUCUUUUUCUUUUUUUUUAACUUUUUAGCCUUGUCUUUCGUGUAGUAGUGACACUACCUUACUAUAUCUUAGACCAAUCAAAAUUUUCAUUAUAAAAAAAAAAAAAUAAUGUAUGUUUUUAAAAAAUAUAAUAGAAUUGGUGAAUUUUAUAGACAAAUUUGAUAGAUUAAAAACAUACGUGAUGUGAGAUCACUGUCAUACAUAAAUAUAUUAGCAUUAAUUUUUUUGACAAUUUAAAGGAAAAUCUUCUGCAGUCGGUGAGAUAUCAUGAGGUGAAAGGCCCCAUGAAACAAUUUCCUUCAACUAAAACAUUAUGGCAUUAGUGAUCUUGAAAUAAAUAUAAAUAUACAUACAUUAGCCUUUACUUUUGUGAUUAUUGAAGAAAAUCUACCGUACAAGGUGUGAUAUUCAUAGGGUUAGAGGGAUAAAAAUUUUAUGGGCAUAGUCUCCAAACUAAUUAGUUUGAGAAUUGUGCGGAUCGGCGCCACGUGGCCGUCGGAUCGGCCACAGAUGGAAAGGAAAAAAAAAAAAAUUAUGCCCAUAAAAUUUUUGUCAGGAUUAGAGGCCUCAAAAAAAUUUGCCUCCAACUAAAGCAUCACGGCAUUCAUGAUAGUGAAAUAAAAUAUAAGUUAAAAAAAAAAAGUUACAAUUACUUUUAAUAUUUACGGAUAAACUCAGCAUCACCACACAUAUAUAUAUAUAUAUAUAUAUAUAUAUAUAUAUAUAUAUAUAUAUAUAUAUAUAUAUAUAUAUAUANAUAUAUAUAUAUAUAGUCCGUCUUCCGUACUUUCGAAAGUACGGGAGGCCCCGUGCUUGUAAGUUGUUUUCGAUGAUAGGACGUUUGAUUCGACGAUCGGCUCCGUUAGGUAUGAUCUACCCUAUUGGAACUAUUUAGAAAUCAAAUUUUAAAUUUUUUUGACAUCAAUUACUAAGCGAUCAAAAGGUCUAAAAAAUGACUAUUUUAACGGUUGAUGUGGCACAUUUUUAAGUUCAACGGUGUAGAAGUAUUCAAAUUACAUGAAAAUUUAUUAGAAAAUUCUACUUAACAUCAGUAGCAAAAUCAAUACUUUCGAUUUAAAAUUUGAAUCCUUUAUCACUGUGUUUUAUGAGAUUUUCAUUUUCAACCGUUCAUUUUGAGGCUACUCGUUCACUAGACAAACGAAAUCAAAAAAUUAUGAAAUUUGGUUUCUAGAUAGUUCCAAUAGCGUAGAUCAAGUUUAACUGAACCGAUCGCCGAAUCGGAUAUCCCAUCAUCGAAAACAACUUACAAGUACGGAGCUUUCCGUACUUUCGAAAGCAUAGAAGUCUAGCUCUAUAUAUAUAUAUCAUUUUACUAUAUUUUUCUUGUUGGCGUGUUAACUCGAUACCAAAAUGCCAGAGUGCGUAUAUGAACGCCUUUCAAUAAAAAAUUAGUAAAAAGUGGGAGAUCUACUAGCAAGUGGGAAACUAAAAUCAACACCAAAACGCGUGAUCUACAAUUGGAUAGAUCCCCUAGAAAAUUUACAUCCCCCCUCCUUUUUUUGUCAUAAAAUACUCCAUAUUUAAUUUUUUCUGCCAGCAUAGUUCAUUAGAAGUUUGAUUCGGCCUUCUGAUCAAUUAAUCUUCAUCAUAUUAAUUUAACAGCUCUGUAAUAAUUUUAUUAUUUAUUUAGAAAUAAGUUUAUUAAUUUCACAUCUGCAAAUUGAAGUAGCCCUGCAAUUAAUUUACGCAGCGCAAUAAAAAAAAGAAACUCCAUGCAUAUUUACAUGAUCUGUAAUCAACAUAAAGAGCUACCCACAAAUGUCGAGUCUACAGGGUUGAUUAUAUAUCCUAAGACACUUCGUCAAAGAGUGUGUUCAAUUGAUCCAUAAUAUUGUCAAAGCAAUGUGUACGUGCGUGUCGCUUGUUAUUUACAGCUCGGCCUCCGCGGCAGCGGUGGGUUGACACGCGCUGGAUUUGCUUAAGCUCUCCAACAAGAGCUCGUCGCGGACGGUGGAGUCGGUGUCGUCGUUGCGGUGCCACGACCACUGAGCGUUCACGCCGUUCAGUACCUUCAGGCGACCGUGCCCGAAGCUCGCCUCGCGGAACUGCGAGAGAUGCGCAGACUUGUGGUUCUUAUUAAAACUUCAGACAUCAAGAAAGAGAAAAAAAAAAAAAGGAGUUAGGAUUUCGAACUUAAAGAUUAAUUUGAAAGUAUGCAUGUGGAUAUGGAUAUGAAUUACUACUUACUCUAGUGCAAGACCUUCUCUAUUCCCUCCGUCACCAAUGGUUAUGUACACAGGGCCACAGCUGUUCGCUUCAUUGUUAUAAAUCCUUGUCUGCAAGCGAAAAUAAAUAUAUGCAUUUUGAAUAAGCAAAUAAAUUUCUAAACAAUUUGUCAUAAUGAUAUAAUGGCGGCACUUAGAGCAAGUAUAAAAAAUUUGAUGAUUGAAAUUUAAAAAUUAAUUAUUUUAUAUUUUCAGCUAAAUUGAUUUCAUGCUUUCUUUCUCUCUCUUGAAAAAAAAUGCAAACAAAAAUAAUAUUAAAUCGUUUAUGAAUUUAUAUUCCUUUUUGAAAUUUAAUUAGUUAGUUAGAAUUUAUAUAUAAGAAAUGCAUCAAUACACCGGCUAAAUUUGACUUCAAACUAAUUACCUUUUUACUAUUAAUUUCCACUAGCAAUCCUAUCAAACGCUAUUUUUAUUUUUUUAUUUUCUAUAUAUAUAUAUAUAUAUAUAUAUAUAUGUUUAGUAUUAUUGUUCGCGUUUAUUUCAAUAGUUAUACUCGUCUAGGAUUAAUUAAACAAGAAUAACUUGCUACAGCUAAGAAAAUGUUUAAUAUUCAACUUACGAAGCGCUCGUAUGCGUGGACGUGGCCGGCAAAGACGACGUCGACGCGUGCACCGUACAGCAGCUCCUCCAUGGCCUUCCUCAUGUUCUCGCCCUCGCCCUGGUGCGCGGUGUUGGUGUUGUACCACGGCGCAUGCAGGAGCACGAUGAGCCAGGGGGUCCUCCCGCGGUCCACCUUGGCCAGAUCAUUCACGAGCCACUUGUACUGGUCGGAGUCGGGCCCGUAGUCGGCGUAGGAGCCGAGCAUGACGACGUGGAUUGCGCCGGCGACAUCGAAGGAGUAGUAGAGGUUGGAGUUGGAGGGGGAGGCGCCCUCGUCGUAGGGCAUGCGCCAUCGUGCGUUGUAGGAGAUGAAGGGGCGGGGCCCGAGGAUCGGGAGGGACUCGAUCUCGUGGUUGCCCUCCGUCGCCAUCCACGGCCGCGCGCUCGCGUACGGCUCCACGAGCCGGCCGAACGAGUCCCACAGCGGCUGCUGCAUGUCGGCGUACGACAGGUCGCCCGGCAGGAGCAGCAUGUCGUAGCCCGACUUGCCGAUGUGGGCCAGAGUCGACACCGUCCAUUCCGUCUGUCCCAAGUCACCUGUACUGGGAGUAUCAGUACUUGUGCUAUCCCCGAACAACAAUUGUUUCACAUUGUUUUACAAACUGAUAGUGCAUAUGCAUGAAUCAGUUUACACCGAUGUUCGUUAGCUUAGUUGAAUAAGAAGUGACGUACCGACGAUGGCAAAUUCGAUAGGGAGUGCAGCAGGUGGGGUUUUAAAGCUGAACUCGUCGCCGAUUCCGCCGCAGCGGUAGUAGUAGACCGUGUUGGGCUCCAGUGGCCCGAUCUUGACGUGGUGAAUCUUGCCAGAAGCGUAGAAGAAGUAGCGGUAUGAAGUGUGCUCGCCGGUCGCAGACAUUGUGUAUUUUUCAGAAACCUUUCCGUACUCGACCAGCGAGGGCCCGUGAGUGUCGUCGGUGAUCCAUGAAACUCUCAUUUGGUCAAUCCCUACAGCUGAUAUGUGCACCUGGAAUGGAGCAUGUAUAUAUAAAUCAACAUUCGUUAUUUGAAAAAAUAAUAGUAGUCCUGAUCACAGUUCUCAGGAAUUCUAUAUGUCAUUAAUUGGAGAAAAUAGUAAUAAUAUGAAUAUUGACAAUAGAUUUCCUAACAUCUUUUCACUAAUUUAUUGCUAGCUCGCUGUAACAAAAGCAAAAUAUUAUGAAUUAGAAAUCAUAAAUACUUUUGUAGCCCUAAAUUAAUCAUACUUAGUCUUGAUCUCUUAUCAUAGCAAGAGCUUCGUCUUUUUCAUUAAUCAACCCCUAAUGUCCAGCUAGAAGCUGCUGCUUUCUGAUUAAAGCAGUAAAGAAAGAAAGUUAUAUAUCUUGGCCUUAUUUCACAAGCACUCUCAAUUUGCAGGAAAAUGACAAGAAAGACUUUUCUCUCCGAACAUAAUUGAAGGCGAGUCAAGAUACCGGGAAUCUCAGCCCCGCAAAUUAGAACUUAUCUUUUUUUUGAAAGCUAUAAUUUAUUUAUUUAUUUAUUAUUUAUUUAUUUUUUUUUUAAGUGAGGGCUGUUUGGUAGUCCUCCGUAAAACUACCUUGAAAAAAAAAAAUCCAUGGAUAAAAUUUUUCAAUUGGAAAGGAGUUUUACGUUUUUUUUUUUUUUUUUUAGUAUUUGAUUUUUAGAAAAAAUUUAAUUUUCAACCCCGCUUAUUUGGUUGAAAGAAAAAAAUGAAUAUUUUUUUUUCUUACAAAUCACUAAGUGAUAUUGAAAAAUUAUAAAAUUUAUUUUCUAAAUACUUUAAAUAUUCUAGACAAGUUUAAUAGAGCCGAUUGCCGAUUUGGAAGUUCCAAUAUUAAAAACGAUUUAAUAGAAUGGAAGCCAUUGUAUUUCUCAAAGCACACAAACUAGACUCAUAUAUAUAGAGAGAGAGAGAGAGAAUCUGGGUAUAUUACUUUUAAAAGCAAUAAGUGUUUGGUGCUUAUAAUUUUCUAUCGUUAGAUCUAUCCCAUUGACUAUUUUCAUUCGUUAGGUCAUACUAUACAACCAAUCAACCACUCAAUCCUAAAGGACUACUAUUAUCCUAACUGCUCAUCUCUUAAUCUAAAGGCCAAAACCUACAAACAACAAUGACUUGAUACUUUUAAAACAUAGGAGCCCCAGUUAUAUAUACACACACAUAAUCUAGCCACGCCCUCCAAGCUAAAACUAUGAAUAUUGUUAAAUGAAUAUCAGGUGAUUAAAUAUACAUAAUCCAACCAUGGCCUAAAGAGGCAUAUUUUUGAAGAAAUCAAUUAUCUCAUAUCCGAAGUCGGUCCUUAAUUAUUCUUUCAAUUUAAGAGAUUGAAAUAAGGCUAAAUUAUAAAAAAUCCUUAUGUCAGUACUUGUUUUCUCACUUUUCUCUAUGACAUUUAAAAAUUCAUAUUUUGCUCUUUUAAAAAAUAAAAAAUAUUCACAACGGGAUACGGUAUUAACUAUAACAACAAAUUGACCAAAUUGCCCUCUUCUUAUUCGUCUUCUCCCCCAAUCUCCUUCAUCCGCAGUACCUCCUCCUCCGUCUUCCGUGCCUCUCUCGACUCCAAUUUCGACCUUGCUUACUCCAUCUGCUCUCCCUGCUCCUCCUGCAAGUGUGCGAGGGAAGCGGUGUGCGAGGGCAAGGCGAUGGAGGAGGGCGAGGGUGCAAGGGGAGCAACUGGAGCAAGCGAAAUCGAAAUUGGAAUUGAGAGAGGCUCGAGGAUGAAGGAGGAGGUGCUGCGGAUGGAAGAGAUUGGGGAGAAGAUGAAUAAGGAGAGAGCAAUUUGAUCAUUUUGUCGUUAUAGUUAAUACCGUAACUUGCUGUGAACAUCUUUUAUUUUUUAAGGGGGCAAAAUAUAGAUUUUUAAAAAUCAGAGAAAAAAAUAAGAAAGUGGGUAUAAACCUCUAAACAGGCGUAUUUUUGAAAAAAUCAAUUAUUUCACAUCCGAAGUCGUUCCUUAAUUGUUUUGUCAAUCUAGGAGAUUGAAAUAAUUAUGAAAACCCACAGGGGUACAAAAGAUGCUCGCGUAGGUGAUCGCGGAGAGUAGAGGGAGCCAAAAGAUUGGUAGAAUUAAUUCACACCUGUUGCAGGUGCGAAGCGGACUUCGUGUGCUGGGUGUGGAUGAUCCUCCCCGGCGGCGGACGGACGUACUCCGACACUCCGAAACAAACGAAAGCCAAAGAAACAAGGCCCUGCAUAGCAAUUCUCCACGUAUUUGCCAUCUCCCUGAUCAGAAAGGAAUAGCAAGGGGAUGACGAAACUUGAAGCAUUGUAUAUGCAUAUAUAAGGAAUCGUGGACGGCGUCAAGGAAUGAACAUCUAAGGAAUAAUAAUAAUAUUGGAUAACGCUGUUAUUCUCAGGCUUCAUCUUAAAAAAUUUCAUCAUGGUUAAUUACUUCUAUUAUACAUUCACCCGCUUGACCAGAAAAACUAAAAAAGAAAUAAGCACGCUAUGUUAAAAGUAUAUACCCCAGAAUCUAUAUACCACGUGUACGUUGUGACUUGUUUGGAUAGAGUUUUUAAGAUUAUAAAAUUACAAACUAGUGGAUUUCCGGCUAAAAGGUUGGCGUGUUCAUUUCACCAAAUAAUAAAUGCUUGCCAUGCAAUGAAAUCGAACCUUUUCUCCCGUUAAAACCAAAGGAACAAAAUUUCAAUGAGACUUGUCUCACAGGGGCACAAAAUCAUAUUCUGAGAUUACCAUGAAGUGCUACUGGAUUGAGCUGGCUCAUACUUGAACGUCUCAGUAAGACACAUGUCACACAAAUUUUGUUCGCAUUGAUGGGCUUAAUUUAAUGAUCAAUUAUUAUUGUUUAAGGUGGAUCUACACUUUCCUAACCCAGUUUUACACCCAUUUAAUUAUGAGACUAAUUUCCAGGAAAUUUUAAACAAAAAACAAAUAAAUUAAAGCGUGCAUACAGUUAGAGAAUUGUGUGAAACUAUAGUCUAUAGACCGCGGAAUACUAAAAAUUAUUAUUAUUAUUAUUAUUAUUAUUAUUAUUUUGAGAGAUAGGUAGCACGCUACCCGCUUCGUUUAUUUUAUUUAGAAAUAAACUUAGCUGAAAAUGUGAAUCAAUUAGAAUUCGAAUUUGGAAUCUCGGUUACCAACCACCAAGCCCUUUGCCACUUGCUCUAGGGAUGAUCGGUAAUACUAAAAAUUAUUUUAAAGUUGAUUCUUUGGCGUCUUUCUCAGUCUAAGAUGGCUUAACUUUUUGUGGUCCAUCAUUGGUACAACCACUUAAUUUGGUUCCAUUUUUGUAACAGCUAGCGUCGGCGGAAAUUAAACAGGUCCGAUCACCUCUCUAUUUGAGGAGGUUCUUACACAUUGCAUUUGCAGUCCUUUUGGACCGCCAAAUUUGGGCUCAGCUCAACAACUGAUCUAGUGCAGCUGCAACCAACUAUGCUAAGCUAGCGCGAACUAAAAAGAUUUCUCAUUAAUUUCUUCCAAUCAAGUUAUGCGCACAUCAGGCAACACUAUAAAACAAAUUAAAGAUACGUGCAAUGUAUUUUCUUCAUUUAGUACUUGUCACAUGGCUGAAACUUUAUGAAUCAAAAUACUUCUAAUGAUUUCUUGAAGAAUGGCCCUUAUCCUCUGAUUGGUUAAGAUUAGUCCUGCUAUUUUUUAUUUUUUAUUUUUUGUAAAAAAAAAAUCAAUUCCUUCCACCACCAUCAAUUAAGUCUCCGCCUGAAGAGCCAAAGAAGCUAGCAUAUUCUUCUGCUAUGAAGGAAUGUGCUAUUAGCCAUUCUCAUAUGUAAUGAAUACGUACAUCCGUGACCACAUAAAUUAUCCUCAAUUGUUUCAUAAAUCACAUAUUCCCGCGAUAGCAUUUGCCGUGUUCUCGGAGGAAACAAGAUGGCAUGAGAUUGGACGGUGGAUUGUUUGGUGAAGCGAAGGCAUAUUAGAUGGCUAAAGAAAUGUAAAUUGGCCGGAAGGAAAUUUUUAAUUUAGCAUCUAAUUCGAAAGAGGGGGAAAAAAUAAGAGAGAACUUUUUGGCAUUCAACUAUACAGCCGCUGCACACACUGGCCUAGACUAAUUAGUUGAGAUCUUUGAAUAAGGAGGGAGAUGAUCGAACAAAGUGUUAGAUCACAUGCACGAAUCACUGCCAACUUUUACUAAGGUCAAAAAAAAAAAAAAAAGAAGGCCUUUUAUGUAUUCUAUUUUUUUUUUAAAAAAAAAACUUAUUUUCGUGAACGUGGUAGGCUGGUAGGUCUCCCCUUUGGUACACUUUUUGCUUGUCACGUCAUGCUUUCUUGAGAGAACUCGAGGAUUUAAUACUCAUCAUCCAAAGAAAGCAGGGGUGUUGGGGGAGGAAGUCAACGUUUUGGACGGUUAUCUGGCAUUUGUUUUNUUUUUUUUUUUUUUUUUUGAGAGAAAGAUAUCAAGCUACCUGCUCCAAACAAAAUGGCAUUUGUUUUUUUCUUUUUUCUUUUUUUUUUUGGGCUGCCCGACUCUCAAGGACACCUUAGCUGCCUUCAUUUUGUUCGCCUAAUUUAUUUUACUUUAUCUGGCAUUUGUUAUGGAUAGGCAUAGGACGAAGAUGCAAGCAGCAAGUCGCACUUAGGGAUGCAAACGGAUCGGAAUUGGUGGAGCUCCUGCUUCAAUCCGCUUGGAACGGUAUGAUAAACCAAAAAAAAAAUAAGGAUCUGUUUAUGAUCUGAGACGGGUUCGGAACAGAAAAUAAAAAAAUUUUGAGCCAUCCUGAAUCUGUUCUAUCUCCGAAAAUUAUUUAUAUUUUUAAAAAAUAAUGUAUUUAUAAAAAAAAUCUAAAGUACAAAUAAUUUAGUGCUAUUAUUUUUCAUAUGCUUGAAAUUUUUAAAUUUUGCUUUGAAUUGUGAUUGAUAUUUUUAAUUUUUAUAAUUAUAUUGUUAAUUAUAUGGAGUUGAGAUAGAAUACUCUCAAAAGCACCAUGAAGGUGAUGUUUUUGAGUUUUUAGUCAUUGGAUGGAGAGAUGUGAGGUUGAGAUGAUGGUAGUAGGUGAUGGUAGGUGGAAUAGUAUUUGAUCCAAAGGCUAUUAGUAAUUAAGGAGUAGAUCGAAGGACUAGAAACUUAGAAGCACCAAGGGUUGGUGCUUCUAAAAAUAUUCUAACUCAAUUCAAUUAUAUAUAUAAUAUUAUUAAAAAUUAUUAAUUUAUAUUUUACAAAAUAUUAUAAUUUUAUAAAAAAUAUUAAUUGGCGGAGUAGAUUCGAGACACUGGCGGGAGGCGGGUUACGAGGUGGGGUAUAUUAUGAGAUUUAUUUUUUAACAUGUCACGAAUUUGACGCGAGAGACGGACGAGAUUUUUUUAAUCUGGAUGGGAGGCGGGGUGGGACUACCGUCCCCCGUAUCAGCACUAUUUGCAUCCCUAGCCCCAUUAGUUGUUCGCUCCAGUAAAUUAUACUGUCAGAAUAUUGUUGAACCAAGGCCACUAGCGUAAGUCAAGCCAAGCUGAUCGAACUCUAUCCGUGCUUAGUCAACUCUAGCUGUGCUUAGUCAACAAUCAGUUGCCUGGUGCGUCUACACUGUAGAACGACUCCCAUUUGGGAACAAGAGUCGAAGACCUCAUGUUAGAGAGCAAGAUUAUACUAAAUACUAAUGUGUCGUUUGAUUCGAAUAUAAAUAAAAAAUUUUAUUUAAAAAAUAAAUUUAAUUUUAGAUAUAAAUAAAAAUUAGAUUAAUUUUUCGACUCUAUAAAUUAUAAUUAAGCUCCAAUCUCAUGUCACAGCAUACAACAGACUAAUAUUAUAUUUCGUAAAAAGCAUUUUUAAAAAAUUUGCUAAUAGAUCAACAAUAUUACAGGCAUAUUUAGAAAGUUGAUGUAAAUCUUAUAUUUUAUUCAUCCAAAAAAAUCAAUAUUUUCCAACCAAUAUUAGUAAUUAUUUUUUAAUAUUAAAAAUUUUUUAAAAAUCUAAACUUUUGGAUGAGCAGUUGUAAUUAAGAUUUACAUCUAGUAAAUCAAAAUGAAAAUUAAUAGUACGUCAGCAUUCACGGGGUUAAUGAACAUUGAAUAAAAAAAGAAUCUAGAACUUACGGACAAAGAAGGGGUGGACCGGACAUGCUUGACAAAUUGCAAAAAAAAAAAUAAUUAGACAAUUGAAGCAACAAAAAAAACACUCAGCGACAUGGAGAAAAACAUAAAAAGGACUAAGUCAAUGUGAAAGAGAGGGAGCACUUGAUUCAACAAUCUCAAGCUAGUUUGGCAGAUGGAUGGUUGGUGUGACUCCGUCCAGUCGAGCACAAUUAAUAGACAAUAAUUCCUGUGCGUAUUAAUUUUAUGGAUUAAACGCAUACAACUCUCGAAUANUAAAUAAAAAUUAGAUUAAUUUUUCGACUCUAUAAAUUAUAAUUAAGCUCCAAUCUCAUGUCACAGCAUACAACAGACUAAUAUUAUAUUUCGUAAAAAGCAUUUUUGAAAAAUUUGCUAAUAGAUCAACAAUAUUACAGGCAUAUUUAGAAAGUUGAUGUAAAUCUUUAUAUUUUAUUCAUCCAAAAAUAUCAAUAUUUUCCAACCAGUAUUAGUAAUUAUUUUUUAAUAUUAAAAUUUUUUAAAAAAUCUAAACUUUUGGAUGAGCAGUUGUAAUUAAGAUUUACAUCUAGUAAAUCAAAAUGAAAAUUAAUAGUACGUCAGCAUUCACGGGGAUAAUGAACAUUGUAUAAAAAAAAGAAUCUAGAACGUACCGACAACGAAGGCGUGGACCGGACAUGCUUGACAAAUUGCAAAAAAAAAAUAAUUAAUGUAUAAGAAGACAAUUGAAGCAACAAAAAAAACACUCAGCGACAUGGAGAAAAACAUAAAAAGGACUAAGUCAAUGUGAAAGAGAGGGAGCACUUGAUUCAACNAUAGAAAAAUAUAUAUUUAUUAUUAUUAUUAUUAUUUUAGUAUCAUACGUAAUUAUAAAAUAAUAAUUUUUAGAUUAAAUUAAGUUGAUAAAAAUUUUCAAAUCUCACUUUUUAAAAGACUAAUCUAUAUUAAUAAAAAAUAAAAUCAGCUAAAUUAACUUUAAAUCGUUAAAUUUUAAUAUGACUUGAUAAAUAAAAUUUUGCUGAUUUGAUUAAAAUCAUAUCGACUCUCCGAUUCGAUAGUUGAAUUGCCGGUUCGAAUUGUUAAAAGCGUUUUCUUAAUUUGUCUGAUUCAAAAGAUUGCACUCGAUGGUUUUAUAGAUUAGAUGACGAUUAGAUCGAUCAAAUUAGACUCCAAAGACUAGGGUCUUUUAAUAUAAUUCAUGUACGUCCCAAUUAUUAUAGUAUACACUGUAACAAACUUGGUGGGAAUCAGUACGCUAUCUAUCUAUCCAUCACGUAACGGGCCUAAAGAUUCAAAGUGGCGUGUCCGCGCUAACUCUUCGACGCCACGGAGGCACGACACGUGUCGCUUUUUCCGUUACCCCAACGAAAAGUGCCCUCACUUCAUCUAAAAUUCCUAGUUACGUCCAAAACCGCAACAAAAAGGGUUUUGUGGGGUGAAGAAACCGAGCGUUCGAGAUUCCCACACUCCAUUCCCAUACACACAUGGUUGCGUGUGUUUAAUCCCAAGUUGGAAUCAAUAUGGAAAGCAAAAUAAGAAUAAAUUAAUAAUAAAAUCAGAAUAAUUUAUUAUUUUAUUUUGUUUAAUUCGUCAUCUGAAUCGGAGUNAUUAAGGAGGAAAAGAUUAAAAACAUGACCUAAAUACUUUUAAUUUAUUACUACUAUUCUCUAAUUUUGUCAAUUUUUUUAAUUUUUUUUAUCACCCUUUAGUCUUACUAAUCCAAAAAUAUUUUAUUAUUUAAUUUGAUUCAUAUUCUCUUUGUUGUAUUAUGAUUCUAAUUUUCAAGCAUCGCACGUGCAUACAAGUUUACUAGCUUAGCUAUUAAUUUGGACUCUUUUUCUUUUUCUUUUUCUUUUUUUUUGUGCUACCCAUAGUAUCAAAUUGCAGAGUCUACGGCUUAGAUAUGGCUUUUCAUUUUUUCCAUUUUUAGAUAAAUGGGUUGUUUCGAAACUGGGACCCAUAUUGCGUGAGGCGGUUUCUGGUUAAUUGCAUCUUUCCGGAUAAAAACAAAAUACAAUUAAUACAAAGGAAGCAACACUAACCUGUCAUUCAAAAAUAAUCUAAUUGUGUAUGAAUAUGAAACUUUUCUAAUAUAAUUGUGUAUAAAAAGUUUGAUUAUUUACUUCUUAAAAGACAUUGUUAUCACUGAUUUAGUAAAAUAACAUAUUUUUCUUACGAAUUAAUUUAUUUAUUAUAAAAAAAUAAUUUAAAGGCCAAAUAUAAUGUUCUAUUUAAAUAUUAGAUCACACUUCUCACCGUCCAAAUGGAUAAUUUUAAUAAAAAUAGGCCAAUUUGCAUAAAAAAUUCACUUAUUUUGGGCUUUUGCAAAAUCGGGCCAUAUUUUUGGCUUUUGCAGAUUCGGUCCGCUUUUUCAGCAAACUGACCAAAAUACCCUUAUACCUUUUUCUCUUUCCUCUUUCUCUCUCCUCUUUUUUUCUCUCGUUCUUUUUUCUUUUUCUUCCCAGAGAGCGGCGAAGACGGAGCGGAGGUGCCCUUAUACCUUUUUCUUUUCUCUUUUUUCUCUUGUUCUUUUUUUCUCUCUUCCCAGAGAGCGGCGAAGACAGAGCGGCGUCGCCGCCGGCGCCCCCACCUUCCUCGCCUCCGAUCCCCCUAAGGCCGGGCUNNNNNNNNNNNNNNNNNNNNNNNNNAUAUUCUCUAAUUCUUGUCAAUUUUUUUAAUUUUUUUUAUCACCUUGUUUCUUUUUGUCUUCUAUCCAAAAAUAUUUAUUAUUUAUUUGAUUCAUAUUCUCUUUGUUGUAUUAUGAUUCUAAUUUUCAAUGCAUCGCAGUGCUACAAGUUUACUAGCUUAGCUAUUAAUUUGGACUCUUUUUCUUUUUUCUUUUUUUUUUUUUUUGUGCUACCAUAGUAUCAAAAUUGCAGAGUCUACGGCUUAGAUAUGGCUUCAAUUUUUUCCAUUUUUAGAUAAAUGGAGUUGUUUCGAAACUCGGACCCAUAUUGCGUGAGGCGGUUUCUGGUUAAUUGCAUCUUUCGGAUAAACAAAAUACAAUUAAUUACAAAGGAAGCAACACUAAUGUCAUUCAAAAAUAAUCAAUUGUGUAGGAAAAUCUUUCUAAUAUAAUUGUGUAUAUAAAAGUUGAUUAUUUAGUUCUUAAAAGACACUUAGUUAUCACUGAUUUAGUUAAAAUAAUAAUAUUUUUCUACGAACUAAUUUAUUUAUUAUAAAAAAAUAAUUUAAAGGCCAAAUAUAUGUGUUCUAUUUAAUAUUAAAUCACUACUCUUCCAUCCAAAAUGGAUAUAUUUUUUUAAACUAUUUUAAAUAAAAAUAGUGAGUAAGAAUAUUCUCAUUCUUCUCAGCUCGAGUUAAGGUAGUGCCUUUGACGGCAACACCUGUUUACAUUCGUCUCCUCUGUGUGAUCUCAUCUUCCGAAGAGAUCACCUUUGGCCCCCAGCCACUCCUUAAAACGGCCCAUUUUAAUCAUUGGCUCCGAUUAGGCCUAAGCAACAUCUUAACUGCAAACAACCAGGCUUUAAAAACCUGGAUUGAACAACGACGCUAAUUAUUACCGGUCUCAAAGAGUUAUUGCUUCAAGUAUGUACUUUAAUUAUUAUGUUGAAAAUUUUUAUAUAGAAAAAAUAUUAUUUAUUAUUAUUAUUAUAUAUUUUACGUAUCAAUACGCUUAAUUAUAAUAAUAAUUUUUAUAAUUAAAUUAUUUGAUAACAAUUAUUCAAUCUCACUUUUUAAAGAAACUAUCUUAUAUUAAAAAAAAUAAUAAAUCAGCUAAAUUAACUUUAAAUCGUAAAUGUUAAAUAUGACUUGAUAAAUAAAAAUUUUGCUGAUUUUGAUUAAAUUGCAUAUCGACUCACCGAUUCGAUAGUUAAAUUGCCCGAGUUCGAAUUCGUUAAAAGCGUUUUCUUAAUUUGUCUGGAUUCAAAGAUUGCAGUCGAUAGUUUUUAUAGAUUAGAUGACGAUUAGAAUCGAUCAAAUUAGACUGCAAAGACUAGGCUUUUUAAUAUAAUUCAUGUACGUCCAUUUAUGUAUAGUAUACACUGUCUAACACACACUUUGGCUGGAAUCAGUACGCUAUCUAUCUAUCCAUCAUCGUGAAUGGUGCUAAAAGAUUCAAGUGGUGUCCGCAGGUAACCUCUUCGACCCCACCGGAGGCACGACACGUGUCGACCUUUUCCGUAUACCCCAGACGAAAAAUGCCCUCAACCUACAUUCCAAACAAUUCGCUAAGUUACGUCGUAAACGAGCAGUUCGAGAUCCCACACUCCAUUCCAUACACACAUGGUUAUUGCCGUGUGUUUUAAAUCCCAGGUGGAAUCAAUAUGGAAAGCAAAAUAAGAAUAAUGUAAUAUAAAAUCAGCAUAAUUUAUUAUUUUAUUUUGUUUUAAUUCGCCAUUUGAAUCGAAGUCGAUAAUGAACUAUUUUCUUUAUCGGAUGUUCCGUUCAGAUUAGAUAUAAGAAAACGUAAUACAAUUAACUAGUAUAAUUUUAUUUUUUUAAUAUUUUAGUUUAAAUUCAAACUAAAAUUGUAAUAUUGAAAAAUUUACUGUUAAAAUUUUAAAAUAAUGUCAAGUUUGUAAAUAAUUUUUUCUAAAAAAUUGUUAUGUUGAAAUUGAACCGAUAAUUCAACAUUAAAACUAAAUUUCUAAUUUAUUCCAAUUCAAACUUAAAAUUUUCAUUUUAAUAUUUAAUUUUAAUUUGAAUCCAUAAAUUUAUUUUAAAUUUUAAUAAAAAUUUAGAAUAAACUUUACGAUUUAAAUUAAAUUUAAUUUCAUACAAUUUAGACUCGAAAGCCUUGACAGAUUUUUAAUUUUUAAUUUAAUGUUUCAAAAUGUAAAAAUUAAAUUCUAUAAAUUAAAUUUUAUAGUUAACUUAUAUUUUUAUAUUAUAAAUAAGUUUAAGAGUUAAUCUAAUCCUGUAACAAAAUCUAUUUGUCAGAUUUAAUUUCUACAUCCCGCGUUCUCUAAAUGGGAGAUUCGAAAAAAAGAAAAAUUUAAGGACUAUUUUCAUUUCACCUGAUAAAUUGGAUCUAAUAUAAUAUGAUUCGCUCCAUGUUCUGAUCUUUGAUUCAGAGUAGUCUGGUAAAAAAAAAAGUACAACCACAUGUAUUAUAUACCGGGCGGAUAUACCCUUUUCCCUAUCUUCUAUAUCGCAUGGGGAUGUCGGUGGCUAUAUAUAUAGCAGAGAGAGACAAGGAGAGGGCAUCAUCACUAGCGCGUCUCUCAACGCAUGUUCAUAUUUUACUCUUUGCUUCGCUCGAACAAAAUUACGUAUCGGCAUAUGAUGCAUCAGCAUGGCGACGUUGCCGGUUUCCUCCGAUCGUCCUCGUUCUCUCCUCGUCUCUCUCCUGUUCUCUGCUUCGCAUCGUCACGAGCGGCCGAACCCAGAGAGACCCCUCUUCGUCGCCCUCGACGCCGACGCGACGGUUGCUCACCACAGCACGGUAACGCGUUACGCGCGCCUCCUCCCCUCGUAUGCUUUAGAUCGCAAAUGGUGGUGUAUAUCGAAUUGAUGUGAUGAUAUGUUUGAUUGCCUCCUCUUUUCUUUUCGGCAGUUUGAAAUGGUUUUUGUAGAAAUUUGAGUUAGUGUGGAUUAGUCGCUAACCGUUUGCGAUCGAUAACUUUUUUUUUUGCGUGAGGCAUUAUUUCUAUUUACUUUUUUAUUUUUAAGGAGGCGGCUAAUUUUUGUUGUAUUUUUUAAGUUUCCGACCAAUCGUUUUGAAUUGCUUGCCUCAUUCGCCAGGUUCACACCGCCAUAUAAUAAUCACGCAUAAAUCAAUGUACAUAAUAAUGAGGUGCCAUGCAUGUUUCCAGGAUUUUAUUUAUUUAUUUAUUUAUUUUUAUUUUUUAUCCUGACUAGAAACACAUUUAGGACUUUGCAAACUAAUUUGUAGGCGUCAAACACUAGCAUAAUUUCUUUUAUUAAAUCUAAAGAGCUCACUGGCAUUUGACUAAAGAUGAAUAAAACAGAUUUAUUUUUAUUUUUCACGUGGUCGCCAUAGACACAUCUAUUGAUUAAACUCGAUUCGUUAGAGGUCUUAUAAUAAAUUUUAAUAUUUGAUCUGAUCAAUGCUUAAAAAUGGUCUUAUAUGUUCGAAUUGUGAUCUUAUAUUUACUGUUCUUUUGUUUUUUUAUUUAUGUAAACAAGCAAUACCUAUUAUAACUUAUUAUUGAUCUUUUGAGGACGAUUUGUGGGCUAAAUACUACGACUUCUUAAAACAAUGAUCUUUUUUUUCUUUUUUUUUCUUUUUUUUUUUUUUUUUUUUGAGAAUAGGUGCAAGCAAUGCAUUGAUAUUUAUAUACAUAUGACUAUUUAACCGGUCUAGUAUCACAUAGAAUGUGCUUUCAGAAAAGUGGGGGGGAGAGAAAAAGGAAAUAAUCCACUCCUUUUAUGAAUGCAUUUUAUAGUAGGGACUUAGUUUUUCAUUGUGUUGUUAUCUGCGCCAGGCAAUAUCCCUCCCUUUUCAUUUUGUUUUUUUCUUUACUAAAUAUUUAUUCCAAAUCAAUACUAAGAUUUUUUUUUUUUUUGACCGGAACAAUUGAUAUGAGAUAAAAAUUAAUUAGCAUAAAGGGUUGACUUCACUCCACAAUCAAAUAUGUAAUUAGUAUCAUUAGCUAUUACAAUUCUAGCUCUUUCUUUGUUUUGUUCUAUAAAAUUGUUAGAUGUCACUUUUGAAUUCGUUAAGUUAAUUAUCAUUACUACAAACAGGCUUGGAACUGAUAGUUCAUAAGGUAAGAAGCCUAAAAGAAUUGAGAAAAUUGAGAAAAUAAACCAUAAAAUUGAAAGGUUCAUCUAACCGGCCAUGAAAGCUACGUGUGAGUAUGCCAAUUAACGCAUUAUCAAAAUAACUUGUUCGUUUUGUGUGUCCUUUCUCUCUCUGCAAUCAUGAGGUUAAAUGAAUGGAGAUGCCACAGUUGAUGGAUAUUUUUUGUUAACAAUGGUGGAUAUUUAAUUGGACACCUGGCAACUUAUUAACAAUUAAUGAUGUAAUAAUAAAAAUAUUGUCGGCUAUAAAGACGGAUUUCGAAAGGUUUUUCUCAUAUUGGAUAACCAUUGCAUUGAGCAAAUCCUUGAUGUGAUGUUUAAUCAAAAUGCAAAUAUAUGCAAGUUUAAUUUGAAAUUCCAUGGCGUUCGUCUUCGCGUACUUUCCUUCACAAACUGCAUCUCUCUUGUUUGUCUAGAGGCUCGCAUUAAUUGCAUAGACGAAACGUGUAGUUUUCAACUCUUUCCGAGAAAGAAGAUCGAAGAUGAUGAAGUAGAAGAAAACAAUGUUUUCAACUUUUAUUUUCUUCUGUAGUUCUUUCUGGUAACGGAUUUACUGUACUAGAUAAUGCAAAGCUAUAUAUGUUAUUUGUUAUGGAUAAACUGAUUGGUUGUAACCUGUGGAGGCAACCAAUGAUCAUGAUCAUUAACCUUUUCAGCUUUAUGAUAUUUCUUUCUUUCAGCAGGGGAGAUAUGUAUUUUUUCUACGAUGAAUUACCUAGCCUAUAUAUGCGUACAUAAAUUUUAUGCGCACCACAUUAUGCUAAAAAAUUUCACACAUAUGAUUGGUUCUUGCAGCAACACUAUAAAGAAACUUCUAAAACUUACUUCAAAAAGUAAGUAAUAUGCGUGCUGAAGAACAAAUGAGCAACAAAUGUACAUGCCUAUCUUUUAGAAUUUCCCUUGACAAUAGUUUUACUGUGGCAUAGCUUGUAUAUGAGCUUUAAUUUCUUCAUUUUCCCAAUACGUAUCCACCUUGUGACAUAUGGUCAACUUAAGUGUGAUUUACUUGCACGCAAUACUUCACCUGAUGAGUGACGAUAUCACUUUGUUCUCCUAAUUGCACAUAAACAGUCCACUACAUAUAUAUGGUUGUGUACCAGAUCUGCUUUUCUUUUUUUCUUUUUCUCUUUUUAGCUAAUUACUACGUAUAUAUACUUUCUUGGUUUGCCGUCUCAUUGACAAAUUGAAAUUUAUUACAGCUACAAGUUUGAAUUAUGAAUUGCUCAUCAGUUUCUCCCUUCAUGUUUGAAACUAUCAGGUCCAUAUAUCUCUGGUAGGUUCUGAUAAGAUGAGAGUGACGUGGAUCACCGACGACGACGCCCCAUCUGUCGUCGAAUAUGGUACUUCCUCGGGUCAAUACCCUUUCUCGGCCACCGGCUCCGCCUCCUCCUACUCAUAUGUCCUCUACCGCUCCGGCCACAUCCAUGAUGUCGUCAUCGGUCCCUUAAAUCCCGACACCGUCUACUACUAUCGCUGUAGCUCUAAUCCCUCGCGCGAGUUCUCCUUCAAGACACCGCCAGCGAAUCUCCCCAUCGAACUUGUCAUAGUUGGUAAUAUUUUCUCCUUUUUUUUUUUUUUUUGUUUGCCCUCGAUCAUCGCCUCCUUAUAUUAGUUUUUUUUUUUGAAUUAUUUUUAAUAUAUCGAUAGUGCUAAAUUAAUUCUGCAAUCUGCAUCAUUGUAAGAGGAUUAAUUGCAUUAGUGUGCAAAAAGUACAACCAGCACUAUGAACUAUAUAUGGGUUGGUCAGAACAACCGACCAAUUAAACAACUGCUAGUUAAAGGUUGCUUAAAAUUGCAAAACUGCUUACAGUUAAAUUAGGUAUUGUCGAUGGAAACUUUCUGUGUCCUAACUUUAACUGUUGGUGAUCUUUUUUUAAGUUGUUUGGCGAGCACACGAAAAUUAUUCUUAAACAGUGAAUAAUUGGCUAGGCUGUUUGGCAGUAAGAAUAAUUGUCAUAUAUUAUAUAAUAUAAUUUUUGGUAGAAAUGUACGCAUUAGAGCUUAAUUAGUUAUGUAAUUACUUACGUACCUGAGGUUGGAAUAUAUUAUUGUUGUCCAAUAUCGCGCGGAUGCACGCAUGCAGGCGACCUGGGGCAGACGGGUUGGACGAACACGACGCUGCAGCACGUGGCGGGUGCGGCCUACGACGUGCUGCUGCUGCCGGGCGACCUCUCGUACGCGGACCUGUACCAGCCGCUGUGGGACUCGUUCGGUCGGCUGGUGGAGCCCCUCGCGAGCGCCCGGCCCUGGAUGGUGACGGAGGGCAACCACGAGAUCGAGAAGAUCCCCCUCCUCGAGCCACGCUCCUUCAAGGCCUACAACGCCCGCUGGCCCAUGCCCUUCGCCCCGAGCUCCUCCGACUCCAACCUCUACUACUCCUUCGACCUCGCCCAGGGAUCCGCCCACGUCCUCAUGCUCGGCUCCUACGCGGACUUCGCCCCCGCCUCGCCCCAGUACCAGUGGCUGCAAGCUGACCUCGCCCGCAUCGACCGUGCCCGGACCCCCUGGGUCCUGGCGCUGGUCCACGCGCCAUGGUACAACUCCAACGAGGCCCACAAGGGCGAGGGCGAGGCCAUGCGCAGCGCGCUCGAGCCGCUGCUCUACGCGGCGCGUGUCGAUGCCGUGUUCGCCGGGCACGUGCACGCCUACGAGCGGUUCGCGCGCGUGUACAACAACACGGCGGACCCGUGCGGGGCGGUGCACGUGACGAUCGGGGACGGCGGUAACCGCGAGGGGCUGGCGAGCGACUUUGCAGAGCCGGCCCCGGGGAUAUCGGAGUUCAGGGAGGCCAGCUUCGGCCACGGCAGGUUGCAGGUGGUGAACGCCACCCACGCGCUCUGGACGUGGCACCGCAACGACGACGACGAGCCCGUCGUCGCCGACCAGGCCUGGCUCACCAGCCUAGCUUCCAACCCGGCGUGCAGCGGCAAGACCCACAGCUAGCCGCUGAUUGCUUAUAAACUAGGCUGGGCUUGGCCUUGUUUAUUUUGUAUUGUUAAUUUCUUUAUUUAUUGAUCGAUUAAUUAGUUUGCACUACUAGCACUACUAAUUCUCUCUUUAAUUAUAUAUACGUUCGUGUGUAAUGGCAUUCUAGUCGAAAGGUUGUUGCAGGAGAUUGAAAUAGUGCAGUAAAACAUUACGAUGGGUAUUAGCUCUCCGUGUUACAUUGAGAAAAAUAAAAACUAUGCAAAUUGUUGUCCCCUACAUUGUUCUAUAUAUACUUCUAUAGCCGGACGGACCUCACCGUCUUGGAUAAUUCGACAAAUGAAGAAAGGCCUUUAUAUAUUCUGCUUCAGUUUCACCUACCGAGGAAAUGAAGAAGCCAAAGGACAUACUAUCCUUAAUAAGUGUCAAAAUAAACAUCCUAAAUCAUCUUGUCUUGAAACUAAUAAAACACUGCUUUGUUCUGCAGCCGACAACGACGAAAGAGCAUCAAAUUCCUGCCAAGCAAACCAACUAAGAAUCUUGUUGAAACUGUUCGACAUCAUGGUUUUGUAGCUAAAUUGCUCACAGUCAUUAUUUAUUGGCCUUAUGUGCUAUUAAUUUAACUCUGUGGCUGUCCCAGAGGCCAGAACCUAGUCCCACGGGGUUGAACUAGAUAUAGAAACAGAAGGGUACGAUAUAAUACAGAAUUAGAGACCAUGUGGAAGCAGUGCAUCUCUCUUCGCCAGUCACUUGACUGACCUAUUCGCUGGAGCUGUACAAUGGCUGUGGAUUUCACAGAAGCUCUCCCCCAGGCCUAGCUUCCUUCUAUACACCCCACACCCCACACCCCACACCCCUCAUGUGUUGUACUCUGCUUCCCAUGAGCACUCCUUGUCCUCUUCCCUUCUCCUCUUGGAAAUUAAAUCCCUAAACCAUCAUUCCCCCUCAUGAUUCAAACUGGCCCAUCAUGCUCUUGACUAAAAGAUUGAUUCCAGGGAAUAGUCUAAAUAUAUUUUUAUAAUGAUAUUAGGCGAAUCAUGUUACACACACAUGGACAGUGACGAUAGGCAUAGAUGAAUGUCAAAAAAAUCAUGAAUUUGGACAAUUGAACAGCGGAACUUUUAAUUUAAGAUUUGGGACAGACACUAAUACCAUAUUUUUUCAAAAAAAAAAUCUAGAGCGGAGAAGGUUUAGGACCAACUCCAUUACCAGAUUUAUCCCCCCGCCCCCACCAAAAAACAAAAAAAAAAAGAAAAAAGAAAAGAAAGAAAAGAAAUGAGUUUGACACGAAAUGGGUUAUGAAUAAUGUAAACAAAGCUGAUCUCUCACUGCCCACUAUGGACUGACAGAUCGAAUCCAGGCCGUUCGAUUCACCUCGAUGGUGUGUGAUGAAUGAAUGGAAAGGAAGUUACAGCAAAGCAUGACAUAAGCGCAUGAUGAGUUUUGAGCGGUGGUCAUGUGAAGGCAUUUAAGAGAGAAAUGAACUCAAUGGCUCCUGCAAUACUCUGCGUAUGCAAUCUUUACCUCUGUGAGUAAAAGAUUAUAUUCUCCCCCUUCCAAAAGCUUCUACUAAUGAGUUCCUUACUCACCCGGGAAUUAAUACCAUCCUAAAUAGCCUAUGCCAUAUCAAGUUACAAUACGCAAUCUUAUAGCACGCAAAAGUGCAGUUCACAAAUCUAUCUGUUCUUUCCCAAUUUGGGCUCCCCUACCAAACCUGGGUAGGCUCAACUCACUCCAUAUCCUUCCCAAAGUGACCCCAUUCCUAUCCUUAUUGUAUUGCCAAAUCUAUGCCUCCGUCGGGAGCACAGGCCAUUUGGAAGUUAAAAGUCCUGUAAUGAUGGUGAGAUAGCAAUCUGUGUCCUUGAAGGAGCUUUUUGGUCAUGAUGGACGUGGGAGGAGGAGGAACACUAGUAGAAGAAGAAGAAGAAGAAGAAGAAGUUUCGAGAAGUAUAAAAAUAGGGGUGCGGAUAUGCUUCGACUAGUGAGGUCCAGAGGGGGGCACUUGAAUGCUCCUCAUAAUUUGAUUCUGGGAGCCAUGCAAAAUCUUCUGUCGCAGGGGAUAAGAGAGGAGUGCAUUCAUUGAAACCCUAAAAUCUACAUCAGCCCAUGAACACCACCAGUCAUCCAUGUGAGCAAGGCGAAAAAUCUGGGAUGCAUAUUUGAGAGGGAGGCAAAGAUGUAGUGGAAUAUACAAUAUAAUAUAGUAAAAUCAGGAUUCAGGAGUAAAUUGGGAAAUUUUAUAAUUGGAAAAAAUAUUUUCCACUUUAGUAAAGUGCCUGUUGGUUUGACCUCAUAAUAGAGUAUAAUAAUAUAAUAUUAUAUUAUUCGAUAAAUGUGUGAGUGCUAUUAUUGGAAAAAGGGCUAUAUAAAAACACAUUCAAUAACUUUCUGCACCAGAAAUAGAAAUACCNGCAUCCGUCGGGAGCACAGGCCAUUUGGAAGUUAAAAGUCCUGUAAUGAUGGUGAGAUAGCAAUCUGUGUCCUUCAAGGAGCUUUUUGGUCAUGAUGGAUGUGGGAGGAGGAACACUAGUAGUAGUGGAAGAAGAAGAAGAAGAAGAAGAAGGAGGAGGUACGAGAAGUAUAAAAAUAGGGGUGCGGAUAUGCUUUGACUAGUGAGGUCCAGAGGGGGGCACUUGAAUGCUCCUCAUAAUUUGAUUCUGGGAGCCAUGCAAAAUCUUCUCUCGCAGGGGAUAAAAGAGGAGUGCAUUCAUUGAAACCCUAAAAUCUACAUCAGCCCAUGAACACCACCAGUCGUCCAUGUGAGCAAGGCGAAACAUCUGGGAUGCAUAUUUGAGAGGGAGGCAAAGAUGUAGUGGAAUAUACAAUAAUAUAGUAAAAUUAGGAGUAAAUUGGGAAAUUUUAUAAUUGGAAAAAAUAUUUUCCACUUUAGUAAAGUGCCUGUUGGUUUGACCUCAUAAUAGAGUAUAAUAAUAUAAUAUUAUUCGAUAAAUGUGUGAGUGCUAUUAUUAGAAAAAGGGCUAUAUAAAAACACAUUCAAUAACUUUCUGCACCAGAAAUAGAAAUACCACAUUAGAAUUUUUAUUGGUGAGGUUGAAAACCUUAUUUUUAUUUCCUGCGUUAGCGCAAAUUUAGAUCUUUCUCAUUAACAAAUGUUUUCCUGAAGAUUGCUGCGCCUAAAAACAGAAACAAAACAGAACCAAUGUUUUGUAGGCCUAGAAUAGAUUAAUAAUUUAAUCCGGAUCCUCAUUUGACAAUAAUACGCUCUAAUAGUUUCUAACAGAUCCAAACGUGAAGCGGAGAUUUUAGAGGGAUUCGGUAUGAGAUGGAAUAAGUUAGUUACAGGGACGAUAAAAAAAAUUUAAACAUUUUAAUACAUAUCUAAGUCGAAAGGGACUAACGACAACAUACGCAGCAGCGCCCAUGGGAUUAAUUAAAUAAAGAAAGGGAAGUUGGGGGGGGGGGGUGUGGUGCGGGCGCGGGGAGGAAUAAAUUAUAUAAAAUGCUUCCUCUCACACGCAAGAAGAAGCAAAGUCCACAGAGCGGAAUCUUCAUCUCAAUCCAAACGAGGUCCACGAGGUUCCUGGCCCUAGAAAAUGACUAAUGUACCCAUGGCCUCACCGCACAGCCCUUGGGAGGCAAAACGAUCCGAGGAAACGUAAGGUGCUCGCUCACGUUAAGCACCCAUGGCGCCCAGGUGGGCCAAUUCAGUGGCGUUCCCUCAGAGGGCGCUCGUUACCCUCAGAAACGUAUACUUAUCUCCAACGAGGCCCACGAGGGCCCAGCGAAAUUACCAACUCGACCACCCCACCCCAAAAAGAGGGAGGAAAAAUAAAAUAAAAUAAAAUAAAAUAAAAUAAAGAACCCAAUCCCCUCAUUAAACUACGAGGAGGCGCCAGCUACUCCUCUAAUACAUAAGCAGCCUAAUAUUAUUACAUUCCAAAGUUGACAUUAUGCAUUGCAGCAAGUACGAAUGUACAAAACUCUUCAACCAUAGAUUAUUUCGAUCCAAAAUGCCUACACUUCAGCAUUUUAAAUUGAAGUAGACAUUAAAAAUAUAAGAACCUAUAGUUUUCAGAUAAUAACAUAACAUAACAUAAGAGUUAAGAGUUGGCCAGACGUUGUUGCAUUAUAAUUAUGGAUAAUAUUAAUUAAUAAUAACUAGGGCCCAGCCGCCCAGGAGGGGACUUACAUUAGCGGAUCAACCAGAAGUCUAAAUAAUAGAAGAAAAGAAAUAUGUGGCCAAACUCAAUCCAGUAGAUAGAUUGCACACAACUAGUCGGGGAGCCAGAAGAUAUAAGUUCGUGAUCAUCUUUCCAACCGAGUUUAAAAAAAUAUAUAAAAGAUAAAAAAAGGGGGGGGGAAAUGAUGGUGAAAAUAAAUGAGAGGGGAGGGGAGGGGAGGGGGGGGAUAUAAUAAUUAAUAAUGAGGAGUAAUAAUGGAAAAAGACCAAAAGAGCAUCGAUGAGGGGUGAUGAUGAUGAUGGGGGAAGGGGGCGAGGACCCGGAAGGGCCAUCAUUGCGAAUCUUGGGCCGGCCGAACCCCAUCAUCAUUUGGGAGGGGAGGAAAAAGGCCCACGAAAUUCCCAAAAUGCCCCUUACUACUAGUCCGCCCCAGAGUCCCAGACCCCAGACCGAGUCCCCUUCUCCCGCGCUAUCACGUGACGCCACCCGCUCUUCCCUUCCAACCCCAUCAUCAUCAUUUGCCAACAUUAAACUCUCGCCCCCUACCGGCCGCCUCCACUCCUUUCCCUUGCUUGCUUACACACACUCAUGCAUGAUUCCUGUGCCCCUCCUCCAUAGUCCACACAAAACACAAUUAAGAGAGAGAUAUAUAUAUAUAUAUAUAUAUAUAUAGAGAGAGAGAGAGAGAGAGAGAGAGAGAGAGAGAGAGAGAGAGAGAGAGAGAGAGAGGGGCAUAUAUAAUCACAGCACAACCCACCCUGAGCACUAUAAAUAACCCCUCACACCCCACCACCCGAAAGCGCACAUACGCACUUCUUCUUCCCAUUCUAACAUCAUCUUCUUCGUCGCUUCUAAUCCCUCUAUACGUCUCUCUCUCUCUCUCUCUCUCUCUCUCUCUCUCUCUCUCUCUCUCUCUUCUUGAACUUUCAAGUCCCAGCACCCAAAAGGUGAUCACUCGGGAAAAACCAUGGCUUAUAUUAUAUAUAUAAUAUAUAUCCUAUGGGCCUCCUCUGUUUCUCCUAUUGGUAUAUGUUAUCUCGUUGGUUAGGAUAGUAUGCUUUCUUGUUUAGGAGGACCGGGUCGAUGGUGUACUUCUUCCUCAACUCCUAUGGUGGGAAAAACUGAUGUAAUUUGGUCAUCCUUUUUGGUUACGUAGGGCCUUCCUCUCUAGCUAGUAACCAUACUUACACGUACCUAAUCGAGGUAUUGAAUAGUUUUUACACCUUAAAAAAUAUACAUAUAUUUAUACUAACCUCCAGUUUAUGCUAAAUUUGUUUUCUUCUAUGUCGCCACAUUUGUCUGUCUCUCUCUCUCUCUCUCUCCUGGUGCUGCCAUAGCACGCAGCCCAUAGUCUUUUGAGCUUUAUUUUUUGACUUUAGAAGGUUCAGCUAUGCAGGUAAAAGGAAAGGAGAAAUGGGCUUUGUGGGUCUCCUAUGUUGUUACUUUUUUUUAACUCUUUGUAGCGCAUUCGGCUUUUCCUUUUGUGUAUCAUCUUUGGGAAAAGCAACAGUCCGUCCUGUUCAGAAUAUACCACCAAAAGUCUAUCUACUUCUACUCCCAGUUCCAUCCUAUUAAUUUACUAACAUACUACCAACCAAUAUUAUUCCUCACACGCUGACCUUUUCUUGUUUUACUGUGUCCACCAGGGGUACUACUUCCCCUACGAGCAAAAGCCAUGGAGAGGAUCAACUCGAAGCUCUAUUUGCAGAACUGCUACAUAAUGAAGGAGAACGAGAGGCUGCGGAAGAAGGCGCAGCUUCUGAAUCAGGAGAACCAGGCCCUGCUGUCGGAGCUGAAGCAAAGACUGGCCAAGUCGAAUGCUGCUCCAAAUCCUAACCCCGUUCCCGACCUCAAUGCCAGCCCGCCGCCCACACCCAACAUGGCUCCUAAUACCAGCAAGCCCUGAUCCGAUGCCAUGACAAUUGUAUGUGGGGGUGGGUAAAGGGUUCUUUUUUGGGUUGCUUUUGGGUUACAUGUUAUGUUAGCUUUACAAACCUAAUGUAGUGUACUGGGGAUCCAUCGACAGCCUACAGCCUACAGGGCAGUUUCAGUUAUAUAUAAAUAUCAGUAUAUGUUUUGUUUGUUGAAUCUAACUCAAAUUCUGGAAUUCUAGAAUUCUACUCUCGAGUCGUAAAUGUUUUUAUGUUGACGGUGAAAAUUUACUUUAUUGCAUGAUUUCAUCCAAUUUAACUGAUGUAAAAAUGUUUCCGCUAUAUAAAGAAACAAUUGGAACCAAUGCAAGGUAACUUAAAAAUCCACACUUAGCUUCUUAUCGAUGUCAGCGAAUGUCUGGAAAAAGGCCUUGAAGUGUUUGUAAGCUGUAUCCACAUCUUGUUUCCCACAUAUCUCACGAACACUGCAUUUGUUACACGCAUAAAAGAAGAGUUCAAAGACUGCAUAUGCAAAAUCUUGAAUUUUCUAUUCAGAUCAUAAGUUCUAAUAUCAAUAAGCCGUAUCCUGUUCUUCUUAAAAUUUAAGCCACGAGUUGUCCUAUUUUGACGCACUACCCAGUAACUAAGCAUAAGUGAUUUGCCAACAAGCAUUACGGGCAGUAGCUUUAAGUUGUUUAUCCGGUUCGUAAGUUUGUCCAUAAUUUCAAGUUGAAUUCUGCAAAUGAAAUUGUUAGUUGCAUGAUGAUUGUUCAUGAAUUAAGAUUUUCCCAAUUGUAUUGAAGUUAGUAUAUUAGCUGAAAACAGCGAAUGCACCAAACUCAAGUUACAGGGUAGGUGUCUGGCAACAUCAGUUCUAUCGAUGUAUAAAUUGGUAAUAGCUUUGAUUGUCAAGUAAAAUAAACCGUUUAAGUAGAUCAUAAUAAGUUCAAAAGUAUUCUAAUCUGUUGCAACCCUGAGCAGUCCUCUGUACUGCCGUUUCCAUGGACUAUAUAAAACUUUGUUACAAAAUACAAAUUGAUCUGGUUUUACGGACCUAGAAUCAACAAAGAGCAUACCACCUACUCGUCUUUAAAAUCAUAAGCAAGCUUGUCUAUUGAAAUACAGGAAAUAAAAUGACCAAUUAUAAAUUUGCCGAAUGACCUGCUAACCACGGAAUUUCAACCCAACCAUUAGUGAGUGCUAGAUGGUGUUAUUGGCUUGCUGAACAGAGCAGAGUCCUAUUUCACAGUUCACUGAUAUCAUUUAGUUAAAAAAGCAUGGACCUUACUUGAACUACACCAAAUUUUGAAACGGGUGCUCAGAACUCUAAAAAAUUUGGUUUUAUUACCAAAUCUUAUAGUAUAUUUCAUUUCAUAGAUUCAAUUAGAAUUUAAACUUCUUUUUUGACAGAACAUUUACAAUUUUAAAACAAAAUAUCUUUUUCUAUUUGACGAAAGGUUCUAUAAAUUGUUUAAGAAAGGAUGUUAAAUUCUAACAUAAUUUUUUUGACAAGAAUGUUUGAGAGUUUUUUAAAAAUCAAAAGAAAUGUAAAGUUAUACAGUAAAAUUAAAAAUUUUGAAACUCAGCUCAUUUCAAAAUGAGUCAAUAGUUCAGAUGAGGUUCCUACAUUUUUCACCCAUUUUUUUAUCUUCCAAAGUUUCUCACCUUUGGAUAAAGGACGGUUAAAUCCAUACUUUGUUUACUUCUUUUUUUUUUUUAGAGGAAACACAAAUUUGUUUAUUGAAAUAUUCUAUCCGGACAUCCUGCAAGUAAGAAGUACAUUCUAUACCAACCAUCUAAAAAUUUAAAAAUCUCUUUUAAAUUUUUAAAAUUAAAAAAAUGAUAAGAUCAGAAAAAAAGAAUUAGUUGUUUAUAUAAAUAAAAUAUAAAAUUUACACUUUUUUUUUUAAGAGAGAGAAAGGUAGCAUGCUAUCCGUUUCGUUUAUUUCAUUUAGAAAUAAAUUUAGCUGAAAAUGUGAAUCAAAUAGAAUUCGAACUUGAAUCUCGAGUACCAAUCAUCAAUCCUUUUUGCCACUUGUGCUAGGAAGGGUCAGUCACUCUACUUAUUGAUAUGCAGCUUGUUUACAAGAAUAUUAUACGGCAAUAUUCUAGUAACUGUCCUGGACAUCUAUUUGAUCCCGAAAGGAUGUCUUUGAUCGGAGAUUUAUCCGAGAUCUAAAAGGCUGACGAGGGUAUGCAAAGUCAAAGAAAGAUCUCAUAGAUUCUGAAGAGAGGUCAAUCUAUUUCUUAAAUAAUAGGAAGACCAUAUGCAAAUUCCUCCGGCUUAGUUUAGGUCCGUUUGGUUCAGCGUAAAAUCGUAAAAAAUAAAUUUUCGUAAAAUUUUUUUUAACAUUUUGUAAUAUUUCGUUUAUAGAGAAAAAAAAAUAUAAACAUUUGUUCUGUUGAAAAAAAAAAAUUAUAUUUAUUUAAUUGAUAAAAAAAAAUUGAAUAAAAAAAAUUUCACACAACUUGAAUUUUUAUUUUCCGCCAAAAAAAAUAUAAAAAAUAAAAAUUUCAAUUUAUUUUCAAAUCCAAAAAAAUCAAAAAUAAUUUUUAUACCAAAAAUGAUUUUUCAACGCGGAACCAAACAUGAAACACCUCUCAAAGACCGAGAGAGAUAGGGAGAGAGAGAGAGCGAAGGGGGGUCCACCAUAAUAACAUCAGAUCAAAAGGGACAUGACAUAUGGUCCUUCGGUACCGACAGGUUGACCAUAAGUCCAUAUACGUCAUCAGCUCUCAAGUUCGGAGUCCCAUCAGCGAUCUAUUUGAGCCCAUUUGCAAUGAUUAUAACGUUUAAUUUACAGAUAUAAAGUGGAAAAGAAAAUUUUGUUUCACUGGUACCGCAGAGCACAAAUGCCGCAAACAAGAGUCAAAGAAAUGCAAGGUGCCAACAAGCCAUGAUGACCAAGUAAAAAUGGACCACUCUGGCCAGGGUGUCCACNUUUAAUUGAAUAAAUUGAAUACAUCUAAACAAGAUAAAUCUGUACUUUAAACCUUGUGAAAAUUACAGCUAUGGACCGUGCAAUUUAAAUUUCGAAUUUAAAGUAAAUAUGAAGUAUAGAGUUUCAGUAGAAUAAGUUAAAAAAGCUUGGACAAAUAAAUCUGGACCGCAAAGUAUGACUUUGGACCGUUAAGUUGAGAGAGUAAAUCUGGAUCAUCGAAUAAAUCUAGACUAUGUAAGAAUAAAUUUGGGCUGUGGAGUUUUAUGAAACAUAUUGAAUGAAUCUGUAUAGUAGAGUAUGUUUUAACCUCAAUCUAAUAAAUCUAGAAGAAAUAAAUCUAAACCUUGGAGAAAAAUAUAAAAUUUAAGUUCAGAAUAAAUUUGAAUCUGCAGUAGAGUUUCCUACUUCACAAUUGCGCAACUUGAUAUUGUUAAAUAUAUUGGAUAUUCUAAACCUAGUUGCUUUACAUUUAUAGUUAACUUUAUAUUUAAAAAAAAAAACGAAAAUAAAUAGUAUACAGUAUACUAUAUUUCUCGCUCUUAAAAAAAUUCCAAAUUAUCUUUUAUGAUGAAUAAAAUAUGUAUACAAGAUGACUUUAAGCUACAACAUAUCUCGAAGCUUUAGGUGUCAAAUCCAAGCCCUAGGUAACGUUGAUAAGUGUCAUUUCACGAAGAAAAUGCUAAACGUUGGAUCCGUUGGAGCGGACAAAAAUUCUAUGGGCAGCAUGCGGCACGCUGCCGGAUGUCCACCACUGCUCUCCCAAUAAUGGGGAGAGCAGUGGAACUUUCUGGGCGCACCUGGUGCAUCUAUACCAGGUGCACCAUAAUUGUAAUUUUUUAAAUUUUUUAAAAUUGUAACUUAAUAUGUUAGCAUAUAUGUUAUGAUUUAAAAUUUAUAUGGUCUAUAAUUCAUGAUUAUCGAUUUAGAAAAUUAAAAUUUUAAAAUAAAUUUAUUUUUGGUUUCAUGGAAUAGCAUGGAUAAUUUUUAUUAUUCCUAAUUUUUUUUCAAAACCAAAUAGAAUUUAAAAUUUUAAUUUCUACAAUGAUAACUAGUAAAAAAAAUAAAUAAAUUAUUACAUAAAAUUAUAAUUUUAAAAACUAAAAAUUUAAAAUUACAAUUAUGGUGCACCUGGUAUAGAUGCACCAGGUGCACCCAGAAAGUUCCAGUGCUCUCCCCAUUACUGGGAGAGCAGUGGUGGAUGGGCGCCGCGUGGCACCUGUGCCAUGCGGCGCCCAUCCGGCAGCGUGCCCAAACUAAUUAGUUUGGGCACGCUGCCCAUAGAAUUUUUGUCCCGUUGGAGCGUCGCGACACACCGCAUUAAUGCAUAAAAUAAUAUAUUAACACUUCACUAUAGUCGAUUAAAAUAUAUAUAAUUAUUUAAUUUUAAAAUUAAAAAAACUUAUAAUUAAAGAAAUAUAUACAAAAAUUUAUAAAGUAGUCUUAUAUACGUAUAUUAUAAAGAAUAACCUUUUUUAUUAAUUUUUUUUAACUUUUAGUAUUUAUACAGCUAAAUUAUUUUAAUAAUUUUGUUUUAAAAUUCAAUCAAACUUAAGAGUUUUGAUAGUUAUUUUAUAAAUUAAUUUUUAACUAAAAUUUAAAAUCGGAGAAAUUAUUUCAAAUUAAAUAUAGGUGGGGUGUCUUUAAUUACUUUGUUAAAAUUAAUUUUCUCCUAAGUUAAAUUUAAGUCCAACAUGUAUUUUUUAAGUAAUAUUCUAAGCUCCAAUUCAGAUUUUAGAAACACAAUCAAUUAAUGAAUUGAGCAAUGAAACAUGAUAUACAAAAGUCCACUAAUACAUGCUAGCAAUAGUACUUAGGAGAAAAUCCGCGAAAAUCCGAUAAGUAUAUGUAAUAUACUGAACUUUAGUAAAUUGCGAAGUUCGUGUAUGGGAAUGAUAAUUGAAACCAUCCUACAUGUUCUAAAGAGUUUGGAGAAAUUGGUGACCAAGUUUGGGUGUGAUCGGAAUGUGAGAAGCAAGAAAGUGCAUUGCUGUGGCCCUAUCUUCGAAUUUCUGCAUUGUGUACCGGUACAAUAUCAAUGUUGUACCGGUACAGCAAGCAGCAGUGGCAGCAGCUGCGUGGCAGUAGGGAGAAUUUGGUCAUUUCACUUCCCAAGCUUUUCUACAAGCUCCCAGCUCGACCCCUGAUGUUCAGAUUAGCUUGCUGGAGCUUGGCAACAGGGGUUUGAAGCUCUUCUUUNUAAAUAAGUUUUUUAUAAUUGAGCUCGACUUUAUUAUUUUUUUACUAAAAAUCAAAUAAUAAAUAAAUAUAUUAUAUAUAUAAUUAUUUAUUUAUAUAUAUAAAUAUAAAUUAAAUAAAUCAUAUAAAUAAAAAAUAUAUAUAUUCGAGUUGUUAUCGUGCCAAACACGAGAAAACUAACUCCAGCUUGUGUUUGGCUCGUUUAUUAAACAAGUUGAAAAAUUCAAUUCAUGUUCGGUUCGUUUGCUAAAUAAGCGAUUCAAUCUCGAAUUCAUUUCGAGCCGAACACGAAUUGGCUCACGAACAACGAGCUGAAUUGCAACCCCUAACUCUGACCGGCCAAACCCGAUCCUAAUACGAUUCAACUUAUAAGAGUUGGCUCCUAGAAAUAAUACCUGAUAAUAACAAAUUGGGUUUAGAUUUGAUUCGGUCCUUUUUGGUAGCUUUCAUUGAUUUGAAGUUCAAUCUGAUGUCUUAGUGGUAUGAUUUUUUAGUAUUUUAUUCAGACCUCUUUACUUUUUAAAAUAACCUAUGUCCUUAAACUAGAAAGACCACGUUAAAAUUAACUACACACGAAACAAUUCAACAAUUUGCUAUUAUUCAUAAGUAUUCACUCUAUAAUAUAGAGGACGGAGCUAUAUUUAUCCUACAGCUUGGUACGUGCCCAAUAAAAUGCAACAACUCUGCAUGUAGAAUAGAGAGAGCAGAAAAAUUAUGCAGACCAAGGUUGAGAUAGAGAGAGACCUGUGCAUGGACAGUUGUGGAAUGCCACAAUCUACAGUUCGUAUACCAACACCAGAAGCGAGGAUGGGGCCGAUCGUAGAACCGCAACCCAUAUCAUUUCUUACAACAAAUUCCUACGCAUGAAUUUCUCCAUGUAAGUCAAGUUCGCGAAAUUGCAGGUAUCUAAUUUUGAGUCCAACGUGUAUUUGAGAAAUCAAGCAGCAAGCAUGAGGGUUGUUUAAAGAACUAACAUGUUAUCACAAAUAUUUUGAUGGAAAUUUACUGCGUCACACUUGCAUUACAUCAUCAAUAACAAGCCAAUUACAUCUCUCUUCUUGAAAGAAAAAUACAACAAAAAUAUUUUUCUAUUAACUAUGAUUGAACAGGUGGACCCAAGGGAUAUAAUUUUAUUGGUUAGGUACACCAUGUCAGCAAUAUAAAUUGGGCAUUCUAGAUCUUUUCAAUGUUUUGCUACAAAUGUUUAUUAGCAUAGUAGAUUGACACGAGUGGAAGUAGCGAAAUUUGCAGUGACACCUAGAUUUCAAGAGCAAUUAACAGCAGUUACAGAAAGAAUCUGAAACAAAUUCCCGUAAAUGACUGGUGUUACAUGUUUUGUGAGUAACAAGUAGAAGCACAAGCUACUCAUGCAGACAUAGCAUUUUACUUUUCAUUAGUUUCUAACCAAGAUCAUGCCUGUGCAUCCUGCUAUUCUAAGGUCUAGGGAGAAUCGAAUAGCCUUAGAUACACAUUUGAACAUUCUUCUGUUCAACUCUACAGAGAUAAUUGUUCUAGGCAAAGCCGAGCACCACCAGAGACCUAUGUUCAAAAGGGGCAAUCUAAGCAAAAUUCAUAGAGAUGUCUGUUUUUGUUUAUGUCUCCUAAUUUGACAUGUAAAAUAAAGUUUCUUUCCACCCCUCAAAUGUAGGAAGUAAACAGCAACCUCAUGAGCUGCUUUCAAAAGGUUCUGAAAUAACUUAGUUCAGCCAAUGAUGUUUUCACUACCCUAAAAUAAAUAACUUGCCACAUAGUAACACAACUAGACACUUCAUUUUAUCCAAAUAACAUGCGGAGAGAAGAAAGUAAGUAAAAGCAGCAAAUGUAGAGUCCAGUCACAGAGAGAGUACCUGAACUGGAAGGUUAUGCAUACUUGCAACUUCCUUGAAAAGAAAAGCCGUUACAGCACUUGUGGCGUAGCGUUGAUUAGCAUUAUGCUUGAUAACAAGCCCUUUUUGUAGCUCUGGCCUGUGGUGUUCUUCAUAUUUAUCAGGAAAGUUUGGGUGCAACCCAUGAGCCAUGUCUGCAGACACUGUAAUGAGAAAAUAGAGAGAUCUCAUAUUUGACAGCUUAUUGAAUUAUCAUAAAGUACGAAGUCGUCAAAACAUAAAGACAUACCAAGAAAGGAGGAGUGAAUUGCACGCUCCAAAGCACUCUCUCCCAUUGAUUGAUGAGAUAAGUUGUCAACAAUACGCUUCAUAGCCUGGAACAUUGUUGGUGCUCCUGCUCCUUGUGGCGAGUUUGAUCCAACCUGAAAAUUGUCACUUAGAUAUAUGUGACGUCAUUAAAAAAAAUAAAUGAUUGUUUUAAACUUCACAGUAUGAGCAAGAUAUUAACACCAGCAGGCCAGCAGGGGAAAUUUAAUAGUGUUUGCUAUAGACCACAACAUGACAUCUAUUUGACAAAUCAAAGAGAAACCAUCAACUUCUGAGUCCCUUCCGCCGAUCAUAUAUCCAAAGGGUUUGUGCUAAGGCCAGCAUUUUAAUCUUUUGGCAGAGGCUCCCGGAUAUCUUAUUUGUGUUGUAUAGCCAAUUCUAAACUUGGUGAGAAGAGGCUUGGAUUGUGUUAGACCUUUAACUACACUCUCCAAGAAUAUCUUAUAUUACCCGCCACUUCUUUUGCGCAUUUGGAUAAGCGGCCAGAAGAUCUAUAUAUAAAUAUCACACUCUUUUAACAUGUUGUACUCCAAAUCUUUGUUGUUCUCCACCUUACCUCCAAACAUUCCUUCUGAACUGAGAAUAAAGUAUUUGAAAAAAGGGCCUAGGAAAGUAGCAAGGAGAAUAAAUAUAUAACCAGGAACAUGCUGCAUAAAACAGUUUCAGAACAGACAAUGAGUCAAAAUUACAUUCAGACACAUAUACCAACACUUGAAUAUUGAUUACAGUAGUAUACCUCUUCAUUAUCAAAUAAAGCAAUCAUCCUAAUGGCCUUCUCAUUUGACAGAUCCCCAGGUGAUUUACAUGAGUCAACAAGAGAUCUGAGCGCGCAAUAACUCGAAGCAAGAUUAUCAAGUCUACCAGAGAAGAUAAACUCAUUAUUUCCACCGCCAAGACAGCUAGGCUGUGUAUCACAGACAUUCAACUCCAUACCCACUAUUUCAUCAGCAUUACAUUUGAGUUCCUCUGCCAAGACCUGUAAAUACACAGAUCAGAUUGGCAAACCAAAAUUAUGGACUACCUAGAAUAGGUAAAUCAUGAAAAACCACAUGUCAAGUUAAUUAAAGCAAAAAAAAAAAUUGAUAUAACCUUCAAAAGAAGUGCGUGAUGUGCAAUUUUGGGGGAAUUUGCCAAACUGACUUUGUCCUCGGAUUUGGUUUGAGCAUCCUCAAGCUUUGUUGCAAGAAGUGGAAUAAGGUGAUUCUCUAGGUUUGGCUUAAAACCUUCAGAGUUCACUGAGCUAGAAACAAGGAUUGGUAAGUCAGUAAAAACAACUUUCCACCAAAAAAGAAAAAUAGUGUUAAAAUAAGAUAUUAGAGCACGAAUGGGAGCAAUAUAAAACUAGCUUUGCCAGGAAAUAUAUGAACGUGCGGUGAAGUGCAAUAUAUCAAAGGUGUAACUCUAGGGAAAAUCUUGAGAAACAGAAUUAAUAUAUUUAGAAGGAAACUAGCAGCAACCGGUCAAGAUGUAUGGCUAAUGUCGGUACGCGUAGUAAAGGCCUUCUCACUUUGACAAGCUUAUGCAUGAAUGAACCAUCACCAGCUUUAAGAAUUACUCUUCCUGCUAAACUUAGAUCUCUAUCAAACCAUGUGUGCCAUAAGCCACCUCCAUAUGUCUGGACAUUUACCAUCAAGUACCCAGAUUUGGUUGACGCAGACCUUGGUUUCAGUUUUAAACAUGGGCUAUCUGUAUGGGCAGCAAUCACAUUAAACCCACCGCCAACUCUAUACCUGCAUAACAAAAUAUAUCAAUGGCACCUGUGAUGAGGAAGUAAAUUAUGAAUAGAAUAUAAGAGACAAUAAAAUAGGAUGUAGACAUGAGGAUAGUACCAAUGCUUCAAGGAAUCAAUCAGAUUCAAUAUUACGAAAAUAAAUGGUACAAUCUAAUAAAGUAUGGAUGGUUAAAGGUCUUCUGAUUCAUAUACAGCCAAAACUUAUGGAUAAUGUCAACAGGAUGUAAAACCACUUCAUCCGGAAGAUGGCUAUAGAGAUGGAAUACAACGUUUCCGAGCUGAGUGCAACCAGAAAUCCAACAUUAUCUAACUCGUAUUAACUUACAGAACAUUCAAUACUACAUACUACACUACAGUAGUAUACUAAUAAAGUAUCAUCAUUUUUUAAAUAUUACAAGCACCUCUGAAUAAAAAAUAUGAAACAUACAGAAAAAGUGUAAGAAGCAUCCUAUGUUCAACCGAAUGAUUAGAAAUCAAACAAGGAAGCCGACUUUUCGUGGGCUACCUUGUAUGGAACAACAACAAGUAAAGUGAAUCCGUUAAUUUAAUCGUUUACAAACCACAAAGAAGCAAUGAUUGUGUCCCUGAUUAGAGUACAACAGUAUAUGUAACAAAUUAAUUCAAUAAAUUCAUCAAUCAGCUACCCAUAAAGUGUGUAGAGUAAGAUGAUUAAAGAGAACUUACCUUUCUCCGAUUGCGAAAGCGACCAACGAGGACAUGUUACGAGUAAAGAAGUAGCGCCCACCAGGUUGGAGGUCCCAAUCAUCGUUCUCGUUCAGCAACUUGAAUCCAGCAGCGAGUAAUUGCCUCUUCGCUUCAGCUGAUACAACAAAACAUCACCAAAAUACUCAUCAAUUUCACCACGAGAAACCAAAUCAAACAUGUCGUUGGCGUACCAGUGGCGUGGAAUUGCGUCCAUGAUUCGUUGAGGUAAUCCAACAGAUCGCCCACGACAGACGUCGAGCUUUCCCCAGUGCUCGAAUCUAGCUGCGGGAUGAACGAUAAAGAGAGAGAUGAGAUGAGAUGAGAUGAGAUGAGAUGAGUGAUAGAGGGGGGGUGUGUUCUAGGGCACUCACUUGAAGAGGACGAUGAUCGUCGGAGGAGGAGGAGGAGGAGAGGAGACGAUACGAGGAGAGCGUGUUCGAGCGGCGCCAUGAGCGAAGGUGCGAGGAGGAGAGAGGAGGAGGAUGAUGUAUUCGGGGAAACGAAGAAGAGAGGGGAAGAGAACGAUGCGAAGGAGGCCUCAGUAGUUGGAGACGACUCAACGCCAUGGUUUACGAGCUUGCUCUCCAAGCAUCGAAGAAGAAGGGAUGGCCGGAGAUUUGGAUAUCGCCGCAAUUGGGCUGCUGAUGGGCCGUGGCCCGUCUUCAACCUGCUUUUACCUCAGACAUGGGCUUACGGGCCGAAUCUGCGCUCGGAUCCUGUCUCGACCCAAGCCCGUCAAAGUUUAGGCCCUCUUUUUUGUCGGGCCCAGGUACACUUCAACUCAUGAAUUAAUAAUUGCAGAUUAAAUCGAGUUAGGUAUUUCAUUUUAAAAAUUAAAGUAGCGUAGAAGCCUAAUAAAUAAUUAUAGUACUAUUUUCCUGGUUCUUCGGCAGUUCACCCAAUCCAAACAGUCCAACUUCUUGGUAACUGGAAUUAAGCCCACAAAGUUGGAAAUUGAUGUGCACACGUAAGACUCGGGCACCAUCUGCUUGAAAACUGCAUGAAAAAGAGCCAAAAAAAAAUAAAUAAAUAAAAAAAAGUGGUCAGGGGAAGUUGCGGAGGGGUGUUAAAUAAAAGUUUUCUAUGAGACUUGUUUCAUCUGAGAAUAACAUGAGGUGAUCGUUGCUUUUGUAAUUGAAAAAGGUUAGUUAUAAUUUAAGUUGUUCCAAGAGAUGAACUUUGUCCUCGAUCGCUAGUACUUAAUUUGCAGUAUAAAUCCAAAAACAGCAAUAAAACAACAUUUUUAGAGCCGGAAAAUAACACAAUUUUGGCAUUCAGCGUGGAGAUUACCAACAACUCUGUACCCGCAAGCUCUUUCCCUCGUCAUGUUCAUACGGCAUGCACUUAACAAUGAAUGGAAGGCCCACCACACAACUACGAAGCCGAAGAGCAACUCACCCAUAAUCGUUUUGUUUCCAACCAUUUCAUCUUUCCUACCUUCGCCACAAUUAACUUUAGUCAAAACCAUUAAACAAUUCUGAUUAGUUGAGAGAAGGUGAGUGGAACCACCAGUUUCACCACCAACCAAAAGAACCAUCUAUAUAAUAAUCCACAUCACAAUAAAUUCACAAGAAGCAAAAGGGAAAUAAACAACAGAAAUGGCCACCACUUUCACAGAGAGUGAGCACAAGGCUACCAAAAAGCAAGAAGUCACAGUGGUGGAUAAAGAUGAAGAGCACCAGAAUGACGAAGAAGAGUUCUUCGAGCUCGAUUUGGAGGUGCUUAACCGCAUAGAGACACUGCAGUAUUACGAGCACCGUCAGACUACCGCAGAAGCACUUCUUGCGAAUUGCCUUCUUCCUGUUGAGUAUAUAUGCAAUGCAAUACCGAUCGAAAGCAGCAGCAGCAGCAGCAGCAGCAGGAUGAAUGUUCCCUCAAAGAGGUUUGCCUACACACAAUAUCCAACGGUUGAUUCUCGUUGCGGGAGUUUCGAUGGAAGAAACACACGGAAGGUGAGCUAUGGUCAUUUCUGAACUAAACAGAAGUGCGAUAUAUAAUUCAAAGCGCACUUGAUUAAAUUCAAACACACUGUUAGCAUGAAAGAAGUGAUCUUGUUUGUACUUUAGUUUGCCUCCACUAUGCAGUGCUACAUAUAUAUAAAAGGUAUUUGCAAUUUUAUGACAUUGAAGAGAAGUGCUACCAUGUACAUAAAGUAGCUAAUUUUCCAUACGGAGCGUGACAGAGAUGCAACAAAAGCGAUUCAUUUUCGAGUCUAAAUACAGAAGGAAAACCAGUAUCUUCUGCUAUCGAUAAUAAGAACAAUUUUGGUUAAUUCAUCUAAGAUAGAUGAGUCAAGCAAGUCUGUCACACUCUAGACAUCCAUAUCUAUACAUUAAUUUUCAUAGAAUUUACCACAUGACAAUAUUUUUUCAUUCUUACCUUUCCUCCCCUUCUCACUACCUGUUAGGAGUCGAAUUCCGUCCUCUUUGACCCGGACAAAAAUCUUCCUUAGGAAGCGCGUCGGCUUCGGAUGGUGACCCUCGAAGUUUACCCCCUUCGACUGGAUCACUGGAUCAAGUGAUUUAGCUGAUGAGGGAUCGGAUCAGCCGAGUUCGAAAAUUUUUAUUGUAGAAUCGGUUCGGCUAGAUGAGCCGAAUUAAUAAAAUGCACAGAGUUUUAGGUCGGCUGAUGAGCCAAAUUUAUGAAAUGCACAUCAGUAAUUGGUCGGCUGAAAGAGCCGAAUGCUUUUAUAUAUUAAUAAAACAGAAUGUGCUCGAAGGGCAUACAUACUCUGAAUAUCUAGUUUACAACAGAGUGUGCCCGUGAGGCAUACAGACUCUAGAGAUUUAACUCAAAAACUACUUCUAGGAAAGCAGUAAAUGCGGAAAAGAAAAAGAUUACAUAUAGACUACUCCUAGAAAAGCGAUAAAAUUGUAGAGGACAUAAAGAUGGUCUUCUGGUUCAGGAAGGAGAAAGACCCCCAUUGCAGGUUUCGAAAUUACUAUUUAUAGUAAUAUCAACCCACAUUAUUGGUUGGUUGAAAAUAGUGGGGGGAGUAGUUGUAGCCAUGAUCGUGGAAGUUACGCCAACUUCUCAUGGAAGUUAUGCCCACUUCUCAACCGUUCCUAUCUAAAAGUUCUCAACUUUCAGACGCCUUAUUGCCGACUCCUGGUGUACCACGUAUCCUUAUUUCUUUAGCUUAUACGUGGGUUAGGUCGGCAAGCUAAUUUUUUCGCAUCAACACUACUUAUGUUUUGCCUUUCUACCUCCCAUCUUCACUCAAUACUUCGUCUUUCCACCUGCUUACUUUCUAAUUAAUGUGUUGAAACAAUUUAUUGUCAUGUAAAUUAAUCGCUUUCACAAAAAAGAAGAAGAAGAUCUAUUUAUACUUUUUUUUUCAUACUACUUAUAUUUAUUGAUACCUCAUGGCAAGUCAAAAAAUUUUAAAAUUUUUAUUUUAUCAAUUUUCUAUCUUUUAUACUAUUAGUCCGACACAAUGCGUUGAUAACUUCACUGGUAUUUAUUCAUAGCAUUUCUAUCACAAAAAAAAAGUUUACCUUUUGCUGCUGUUUUAUUACAAAACUUAUUAAAUAUUUCAAAAGAAAAGGACCGGCCUCACGAAAAAUAGAGUCAAGAAAUUGAAGUGAUUCAUUCUGUGCAAUCCACCAACUAAUAUUUCACGCUCACCAGGAAUCUUAAACAAUUGAAGAUAAAGGAGUGAAGCCAUAAAUUUCAUUAACCGGGAUUUGAGUUAACUUUAACGGCAUGUUUGGUUCACCUAUUUUAGACUAUGAAAUCGGAAUAAAAUUUAUCGAUUCCGAUAGUUGCCGUCUCUUUUAUAGAAAUCGAAUUCCGAUUCUCAUUCCAUUUCGGAAUGGAAAUGGCUAAAUCCAUUUAUGAUCCAAUCUGGCUUUGAAUUUCAGAUUGGCUUAUUCCAAAGUAAACUAUUCAAAAUUUUCUUUCACCGACACUAUUCAAGAUUUUCAUUUUGAUUUUCAUUCUAAUAAUGAACCAAAUAUUUUUGAAUAAUUCGCCAUUUCAUUUUUCAUCUCAAAACAAUUCAAUUCUAUUUUUCAUUUCUAUUCCAAUUACAAACCGAACAUUCCCUAAAUGUUAUAUCAUUUCUGUUAGAAAUAAAAAAAAAGAAAAAUAAAUUAAUAAAUUAAACAUAUAAUAUUUUAAUUCUCUCAUGGUCUUACCUCGCGCUUUAACUUAAAACUUAUAUUUUUAAUACUCUUACAAUUUCAUUUAAAAAAAUGUGUUUAGCCAUGGCUAUUGUAAUGCAUGAGUGAUUUUUCUUUUUCUUUUUCUUUUUUUUUUUGAGAGAGAGAGAGUGAAAGGCAACACAUUAUGUGCUUUAUUUUCUUUAAAAAUGAUUGAUAGUUGGUAUUUGAAAUUUCAAAUUCGAAGUCUAGUUAUUUUAUAUUUUAGUGAUAUUUAUUGUUAAUAAGAGAAAGAUUAAUAGGCGGAGGCGAGUGAAAUGGUUUUGACCAGGCUGGGCCAGAUUUUGGGUGGAAAAGUUUUUGUGCAGAACUAGCGUGGAAACAUCUUUUAGAUCUGACCCUGUUGCAAAUUGAUUGGGUUAGAUCCGGAUCAGAUAAUAAAAUUCUCAAGCCAACACCAAAGAAAAGAAGAAGUCAGGCCCACUCCAAUCUUCUCAGGACUCGGAUUUUCAGGCCCGGCCCUGCCCAACAAACCGGGUUCGAAUCUAACAUGGCUCACAUAAAACUGUGCGGGUCAAACACUAUGCCCGGAAUCAUAUAGAUAGCUGCUACUAUACAAAGACGAAUCAAACGUAUGUUAUUAAUUGUAGUUAAUGAGAUACAAAAACACGUGUUAAGUAAAUAUUAUUCCAAUAAACUUCCACUAUUGUUUUUUUUUUUUUUUUUUUGAGAGAGAAAGAGAGCGCGCUACCCGCUUCAUAUUCAGUAAAAAAGUAAAUUAAGCAGUUAUGGCAGACCAGUAUCACUCAAAUAUUACGCCGUUGGUUGGUAUCCUUCUUACCAAACAAUGGAUACACGUGGGUAUUAAAGAAAAAUAAAAAAAAAAUUCUAAAAUUGGGUCGUGGUUCUCCAGAGCUAGGUGUGGUAGUACACAGGAGCUACCCAAAGUAGGCCGUGGGCCGUGGUACUUGGGCCGGCGCGCUGUCGCUGUCGCUGGUGGCCCGUCGAGGGUACGCACGGGCGGAAUAGAGAAAGGAGGGAUGAGCGGAAUCGGAGGCCCGUAGGCCGAAACGUGGGGGGGGGGACCGAGCUCAUGAGUCAUGAUGCUCUCCCCCAACUCCGCUCGCACUCCGCAAGGGUUCGACACGCGCCCUCCCUUCACGUGGCGCGUAUGACGUCCAUGUACUCCCCCUCUUCUGGUUCCUCUGUGAUUCCUCAUACGACAACUCAUCGACCUCUGCGCGCGGAUGUGGACAUAUGUGUUACUGUGUACGCACUUCGAUCGCCUCUGUCGAAAGAGAUACAAAUCUUUUUUUCUUAAUUUAUUAUGAAAGGAAAAUGUUUCGAUUGGCUAUAGUGCAUAAUAUAAUGAGAUAUAUAUAUUACUUGUACAUAUUCUCGAAGGCCCCGUUUAAUUGGGAGGAUAAGCGGAGAUAACAAAAGUUAUUUCCGCUAUUCCGCCAAACGGAAUGAAAACUGGCCGGAAUAUUUUAUCCCGAUCAAACCUUGCUAUUUCCGGUUAUCCCGGAAUAGCAAGAAAUUUGUUAUUCCACCAUUUUGGUAGAAUAGCGCUAUUCCAAUGCUUUAUUUCAAACUUAAUUAAAAUUAUAAAUUGAAUUAAAACUAAAGUAUAUAAAUAUAAUAUAUUAUAUAUUAUAAUACAUUAUUUUUAUUAUAAAAUUAUUAAUUAUACUAUAUUAAUACAUAUUAUUUAUAUUUAAAUAUUAUAAUAAAAUUUAUAAUAAAUUAUAUUUAAGUAUUAUAAUAAAUUCUUUUUAUUAAAUUUAAGUUUAAGUAGAAUUUUUNGCAAACGGGCUUCAUUACCAUCCAUUUGUUUUCGAUGAUAGAGCAUUCAAAUUGACGAUCGGUACCGUUGAAAACGAUCUAUACCACUUCAAGUAUCUAGAAAUUAAAUUUCAUGCUUUUCCGAUAUUGUUCUCUUGUUCAUCAAGUGGGCAUAAAAAUGAACGGCUGAAAAUGAAUAUUUUUUAAAAAGUGAUGAUAGAAAUUUUGUAAUCAAGAUCGAGAGUAUAGAUCUUGUUCUAAAUAGUUUAAAAAAUUUUAUAACCAAAAUUCAAUUGAUUUGAAUAGCUUUACACUGUUAAACGAGAAAACGCCUCAUAUCGACCAUUAAAAUUACAAAUUUUGAAACCUUUUGAUCAUUAUGUCAAUGAUGUUCAAAAGAUUUGAAAUUUGAUUUCUAAAUACUUCAAGUGAUAUAGAUCAUGUUCAAUGGUGCCGAUCGUCGAUUUGAAAACUCCAAUAUCGAAAAUAAAUGGGUGGCAACGGAGCCCGUUUGCUACUGAUAGUAUUCCAACUCAACUAUAUAUAUAUAUAUAUAUAUAUAUAUAUAUAUACAAACACUUUAGGGUAUAUAUGCAGGAUUGCUUAUUCAACGAAGAUUUUUUUUUUGUCUCACUUUGCGAAAGUAAGCAAUUUUGCUUUAUUUUUACAUUAUUUUUUUUUUCUUUUUGUAGAUUUCUUCUAAAAAUGUAUGAUAAUCAGACAUUAGAAAUAUUGCUUGUACGUCCGCAAUUAGGGUGCAAAUCUUACCCUACUCAUCCAAGGGUGCAAACACUACUUUUAGAUUUUUAAUAUAAAAAAAAGAUUAACAAGACUAUUGUAAAAAUAUUAACUCCCAAAUAAAUAAAGUAUAAAUUUUACAUCCACUUUUUAGAUUCUUUAGACAUUGUGAGAAAGCGCCCAUUCAGCAAUAGCCUAAAAUGAGAUUGGCGCACGAGUGUAAUACAACGGGCGCUUGUCGAGUUAGCAAGACAUAAUAAGUCUAAAAUGUUGUCUUUUGUGCUAUUUAAAAAACAUGAACAUUAUAAAAAAUUGACAUAUGAAUAGAUCCUCAUUUAAUUGCCUAAUUUCCAGCUGAGCCAAUCUUUCUCUGGCACCUGGAUGUAAUUGACCGAGCAUCCAAUGUCAGAAUUAUCCAGUGAUAUCCUAUUGAGUGAUUGAGUGUCAAGAUUUUUUAUAACAAUUAAAAGUUAGGAGUAUGAUCAGACGUAUAAAAUAGAAUAGCAUAUUCGACCUUCAAAUCAUAUUUUCGGAAUAACAUAAUUAAUCUUGUAAGUAACAUUUGAUACCCCAUACCGACCGUUCCUAUAGUAAGUGGCAAAGGACUUGGUGGUUGGUACCCGAGACCCAAGUUUGAAUCCUAGUUGAUUCAUAUUUCUAGCUAAGUUUAUUUCUAAAUGAAAUAAACGAAGCGGGUAACGUGCUACCUAUCUCUCUAAAAAAAAAAAAAAAAAAACAUUUGAUACCCCACCACAUCAUGAAGACUAAGACUUUAUAGGGAACAAAAAUCAAACUCUUACUUUGUAAUUAUAUAAGAAAUUUUUUAUACCAAAUAAAUUAUCAUUGAUUUAUUCCGAUACAAGUUUUUCUUUUGUUUUUUGUGAGGAAGACAGCAUACUAUCUGCUUCGUUUAAUGUACAGUAAUUGACAAGCUACCCAGCCUAUUUCUUAAAUUCUUAGUCUCGCAUAUUUCCAAGAUACUAGAUUUGUAACUCAUUGGCUAAUUUUCAAGAAAGAUUUUCUCUCUUAUAUAUUUGGAAACUUAUUAGCCAAUGAUUUGAGUGAUUUGGGAGGAGUUCUAUAUAUAGUACGACGAAAUCAAACAAUUUGUGCUCCUUGAUUCUGGUUUAGUAAAAUCUGCCUAUCAAGCUAAUUACAAGGAUAGCCUCUGCCUAUCAAACUAAUUACAAGGAUAGCCGUUAAAUGCCAUAAAAUAAAUCCUGAACACGAAAUUUUUUUUUUUUUUUUAGAUAGAUAGGUAGUACGCUAUUUGUUUCGUUUAUUUCAUUUAAAAAUAAACUUAGCUAAAAAUAUGAAUCAACUAGGAUUCAAACUUGAGACCUAGGUACCAACCACCAAACCCUUUGCCAUUUGCUCUAGAAACGGUUAAUUUGAGCAUGAAAAGUUAAUAAUGACAAAUGAGAGUAAAAAUGAUCAUAUUUAACCAAUCAUAGUUCUUGGGGGAGAUUUUUUUUACAAAAAAAAUCCAGAGAUUCGAUAAGCUUGAAACCUUUGAAUUAUAAAUCAAUUAAACUUUAUCUUGAUUUCCUACCAAAGUAGGCACUUGUGAUUCUCAUGCUGUAAGAGGAAAUUGACGUUGUUAUCGUCUCAUUCUAUCCAAUCAGAACAAGUUCCAAAUGAUGGGAAAAGAGAAGUCAUUUGCGCCCAACGGGAAUCGAUGCUACAACUAUUAGCAAAUAAAUUACCAAGGAAGAUUCUUCAGGUACCUAGCAGUGUAUUUUUAUAUAUUGUUGUUGGCCCUAUUAAAUAUAUUGCAACUUUGAGCUGCUUAAUUAUACGAAAUAAUUAAAUACGUUUCAAAUCAAGCACAAAAGCGCAUGCAAUAAUAUAUAAGGACGAUAUGUUAAGAGUAUAUAAUAAUUUUCUUAGUUAAAAAGAAAAAUGCUUUGAAUUCUUUAUAUUUAGUUUUAUAUAUAUUACUACUGUGUUCGUAAAUCUAAGGAUGCACACAUUAAUUAGAAAAUUUACAACUUAUAAUAAUAUAUUAACAAUGCAUAAGAAGUACCUAUGGUGGUGCUCAAUAAACAAUUAAACGUAGUGGAGGUGGAGAGUUGCAGCAUUUGCCCACACGAGGACAAGGUCGAGAAUCGAGAUUGAGAGAUCGAAAGAAUCGAGAGAUCGAGAUCGAGAGAACGAGAGAAUCGAGGGAAACACAUAGCGAACAGUGUAAAACAGUUAGAAGCCCUGUGAGUGCUUCGGAAAUCAAGCACCACGAUAUCUAAUCAUAAGAUACCGAAGAGAUUGUACACAAGGAAAAGUAGCAUAUCCCAGUCAAAAUCAAGGACCGGGAAACAGUAAAGUAAAGAAUACAUUUGACACGGGGUGGAUCGCAUGUUUCUCUGUCUCCCUCCCGGCUUUGCGAUCGACGCGUCCCCUUUCCCAAAAGAACAAAAAAAGAAAAAGAAGAAGAAGUACGUACGCUUCUCCACACAAUACAUGCUAAUUCAACCCGCACACUGCUCAACAUUACUACACUUACACAAUGCAUGUUAACCAACUUUGAGUUCUAGGUAGAGUACACUAGCUUAUACAAUGCACGCUAGCCAUCUUAAUUUCAGUUAUAUAUAGGCAUGGAGAGACAGGGUGACAACAAAGGCCUUCAUGAGCUUGUAAUUUUAUUUUGCGUGAUAUCAUAUGCGGUUGUAGUUGAAGGAUGGUGAUGUAGGAGAAGAAUGGAAAGAGCGGUUUUAACGGCGGCGGGCGGCAGUCUCCCUCUGAGCGUUGAAGUAGACGGCAGCCACGGGGAGGCCGAGGUCGUUCUCCUCCGCAAAUUGACGGGUGCUGAAGUGAUCCCUGGAGGGAGGAGGGCUGACGGCCUGCCGCCGCUUCUGCUUGAAGAGGACGAAGAUGAACCUGUGGAUGCCUAUGUUGGGCCUUGGGCUCUCAUAGCUCACGAUCUCCCUCCCUGUGUACAGUACGUAGUACCAUUAAUUAAUUAAGCAUAUAUACCAAACUAUAGUUGCUUUUCGUCUUCCUCUAGUUUGGGAAAUAUGUGGCAUUAUUAAUUCUUAACAGGAAACUAGAGAUAAACACACAAGAGUGGAGAGAUGACCCACCAAAAGAAGCGUCAGUUGUGCCAGGAAUGUCGGUUACAAUCCUGUGCAAGGGUCAAGGGGAAUGGUUAAACACGUUGCCAUUGCCUUGAAAAGCAGAUAACUUUUCUUCAGUAUUCUUGAAAAGUUGAACUAUACCCAUGUUACAUGUUUGGAGGGUUUACAAAUUAAAGGCAAGUAGACAACACAACAUCAAUCUACGUGCAUUCAUGCAUGCAUAAUAAUUAAGAUACAUCUUUAAUUAAUACGUUUCUUCAUAUACCACACACAUAUUAAUAGAGGAUAUAUAUAUAGGGAACGGUUUAUAUUAGUUGUUAGGGUUUACCAGUGCAGGUGCUCCCUUAGGUAUGGAUCACUCGGACCCGGCACAUCUGGGUCUGUCAUAACCUGACAAGAAUGAAAAUAGAAGUAAAAAUACUAUAGAAGAGCACACACGUAUAUAUAAGAGAAAUUUUACUGGGAUCCUUAAACUUGAAAUUGAGAACUAAUAACUAUAUAUGUACAUGAUCGAUAUAGGCACGUACCAGUGUGAAGAACGAUCUCAUGUCUCCGCCUUGGACCUCAACUCUAGGUUUGGAUGCGACUGCGGAAGGGUAGAACUCAUGGCCAUUGAAGACCAGCUUGUUGGAAUUGUAGGUGACCACCAUCUUCAUGCUCGGCUCAAACGAGUCCAACACUUCUCCUAUCACCCUCCCAACAAUAAGAGGCUCCAGCAAUCUCGACAUGGUCGAUCGGUUAAUUCAGUCGUUCAAAGGUGAGAAAUAUAUAUAAACUAAUUAACAAGCUAUGUAUAUAUAUAUAUAUACAUAUAUAUGUAUAUGUAGGGUUGUGGAGGAAGUGGCUCGGUCGUUGCUAGUGGAUUGAGGAGGCUGUUUGCCUUUGAGAAGAAGGCUUCUUAUUGGGCAAUAUGAAAGUGCAAAGCCUCUAUUUAUAGCACUUAAGACAAGUACUGCUGUACAUCAAGUUCCAAGCUCAAAAGAGAACUGCGAAGCAGGAGCCACAAGUGUAGCAUUUUUAAUUAUAAUGGAAUAUAGAAGCUAAAAAGCAACAGGAUGAAUCUAUCUCGAUCCUACUGUUCGUUGAUAAACAAAAGAGGUCCCUUAAACCUGUUUUAUCUUCUACAAUGAACAGCUAAGUAAUCAAUUGCAUGCGCUCUUUCAAAAAAGAACUGCAUGCAUGUAGUAGCUAGCUCUUAAUUUCAGAAAGAACCUUUGUCUACUCCACUAAAAUGAUUAUCUACACUAGAUAAUAAACGCCGUUUAAUCAUGUAUUGAUUAGGUACAUUGUUAAGCUACCUAAUUAAUUAAAGUACGUUCGAGAUCUUUCAAUUAGUACUCAAAAUCGUGCCUAAAUGACUCGAAGGAUCAACUAAUUAUUAAUUCACACAUCUCGACGUGACAGGUAAUUAAGCAAAUUAAUUUAAUUAAUUAAUGAGGAAUAGCCGGAAAAGUAAAGUUCUUAACAUGAUAAUAAGUGCUUUCAGACUGAAACCGUAAAUUCUGCUUGAUUAAAAAGCCGCAAAAGAAUUUGAAAUUGGAGAUGGUUAAUUCGUUUAUUCUACUACUAACUUUUCUUACCAUUGGCCCAUAUUAAUUUGACGAGGGAACAGGUAAUGUGAACUCUCCAUAUGGAACCUUCCUAAUUAACAUCCAUUUAAUAUAUUGUUAAUUAGGAAAAGGAGGAUUCAAUAGCUGGAGCCUGUGAACAUGUAGAGCAAGCACCACACUGGAAGUAGCUGUUGCACUCUUUUUUUGUUAAGGUAAAAAAAGGUGAGUAGCUGAGUUGGGUGCUAUAGGAACCUUCCCAAACAGCACUGCACCCAAAUGACUUACCAUUAGUGGUUAUUAUUCUCUGAGAGAGGGGGAGGAGGAGGAGGGGAGAGCAUAAAAGGGAGACCCACCACCCCACAUAGUGAUAGUGGCCAUAGUGUUGAGAUGUCAUUUCAAAGUAAAGAGAUCCAUGUGUUCUUGAUAAGGAAAACAAAGGGGUUUAGUUUCUAUAAAUGGUGGAGCUAGCAAAGUACUUCUUUGUGGCAUUCCUCCACUCUGGAACAAAGAUUUUUCUUAUGUGUUACCAUGCACCAUGCACCUAUCUCAAGCAACACCCACCCAUAUUCUACCUGUUUCGGUGUCAAACUAUUAAUUUACUGUUUCAUAUUCAAACCACCCAAUAGAAACAGUUUUGGGUCUACCGGUGACUCUGGUCUCACAAGAUUAUUCUUUUAUUCCGGUGGCGACAUCCGGUGCUCGUGGGUACAAGGAAAGGGAAAGUCACUGUGGUGUGAAGGUGUCCGUGACGACAGGGGUAAAUGGUAGGUUUCCGUAGAAUAUAGGAAAAGAAAAAGUUUUUUUUUUGUGUGUUUUUUAUUACGUUGGAAUCUGUAAUGAGAUACGUGGGUUUUUCCCGUGAAAACCACGUACCCCUGAUUUUUUUUUUUCUACCCCUCCACUCUAUUCCGAGUUUCCUUUUCCCCCUCCAUUAAUUCCUCACAACGCACACAAGUACCCAACCUAAGGACAACUUAGGCAUUCUAAACAUCUCACAUAAACAAUCGAGCAGUAGGUUUCUAUUCCAUUACCUAGGCCAAAACCUAUCUAUCAAUGUAAGACAUUGUUUUUAAAGUCUAAAAAACAAAUACGAGUAAUUGAUAAGAUAAGACCUAUUGACAUCGGCUUUCAUUUUUAUAUUCGAUCUAGUUUUUUUUGAAUCCUACGAAAACAGAUCAGUAUCGCGCACCGACUACUUAUUUUUUUGUCGAUAGAAUUAUGUAUGGCUGGCAAAGAUCUCGUUCACCGUUCUUUAAACCACCAACUAUGAGCUCUAGGGUUCAAGCUUAGGAUCAACUAAGUAUAAAAGUCGAUUCAAAUAAAGAUUUACUUUAUUUGUUUCGUCGAUCGUACGAUAGAUAGAGAGUUUUUUUUUUUGUUCCCUUUAGUUCCUGAUUUAACAAUGUUAACUUUGGGCCAACCGCGUUAAUUUUAUACUCCAACCUAACCUCCUUAAAUCCUGAUUCGACAAGGGGUCACAAUUAACCAGGCAAUUACUAGUUUGUUGGAGUAUUACCUUUUUUGUUACCCGGGGUUUUUCAUAGAUCCGAGUACUCUGUUUCGGUACAACCCUUGAACACCUAAGCGUAUCACUCUAGGAAACUCUAGGUGUUGGUAAGUUAUGAGUGAAACAAAGGUGAAAUUAAAGAAGCGUUUUACUAUAUAGUUUUUAAUUAAUUGGAUGGUUGGCAGGGAUAGUAUUUACUGUUUCCCGAACCACUAACUAUAGUCUCUGGGAUUUAAGCCUAAAAUUAAUUAAGUAUAAAAAUCGAUUUAAAUAAAAAUUUAUUUUAUUUAUUUCACCCAUAUUACGAUAGAUAGAGAAUUUUUUAAAAAAUUAAUGUACCAUGACGAGUUGAAGCUAGCUUUUCAUAAUUACAUUAAUAUACGAGUCGCAGCUAGAUUUUCAUAAUUACAUUAACAUCCGGGUGACAUUGACGACAGUAAGAGUUUAGCAAUACGUUGUGUUUCCUAAUAGUGACUAAAAAGUAAACGCACUUCUUGAAGUCUUUAAGAUAGUCGGAUAAGUUAGCUUAUCUUAAUAUUAAAUCUCUUUUUUUUUUUCUUUUCACAUCGGUUAACUCGCUCCGUAUUUUAAUUCCGCCGUAUUCUCUCUCUCUUUUCACUUUAAUUUNAUGGGCGGAGGAUCUCCUCUCUCGACUCUCUCUCUCUCUCUCUCUCUCUUUAAAAAAUUAUUAAUUUACCAAUGAAUUUCGUUGCUUUACGCAUAACUGUAUACUAAUAAGAACGAGGAUAAAUCUGAUUGCCGCAGGAGAAGAUAAGCAACUUGAGCUACAUUUGAUAAAGACCCAGCAUCAGUAUAUUGGUCCCCUUUUUUUUGUUGUAAUAUGAAGUUAUUUUUAACAUAUAUGUAACUAUCGGUAAAGAGAUAUAGUUGUUACUUGAAGUUAUAAAGAUAUUACACUUUAAGCAAUUAAAUUAAAUUUUGUAUUUUAUCAAAAAAAUUAUUUUUUUUGUUUGAGAGAUAGGUAGCACGCUACCUGCUUCGUUUAUUUCAUUUUUAGAAAUAAACUUAGCUGAAAAUGUGAAUCAACUAGGAUUCGAACUUGGGUCUUAUGUACCAACCACCAAGCCCUUUGCCACUUGCUCUAGGGACGGUCGGUUUUGUUCCCUAAAUUUUAAUCUGACAAAUCAGUCUAUGGAGAGGUGGUAAAUAACGAUUUUUUUGGAUGAAAUAAAGUUAUAUAUGAA
rnacentral:lncRNA from 1 species